rnacentral:lncRNA from 1 species
AACUACAAGUAAGCUUCAAGUGAAAUUGAUACAUUACCUUGUGCAUCUCCACCAGUUACAGAUACCACCCUUGGAUGGAGGAAGAGUACUUCCAGAGAAGAUGCCACAUCUACCUAUGAGACAGAUAAGGCAAGUCAAGACGAUACCACACUCCGGUACUUAGAAGUUUCGUGGCUACGAGAUCAUUCUCCCACAAUAUUUCCUAAUGUCAUUUGUACUAAAUCAUUCACUUGUACUCACUAAAGGAGAGCUUGAACAUAUGUACUUGUGUAAACCCUUCACAAUUAAUGAGAACUCCUCUAUUCCGUGACGUAGCCAAUCUGGGUGAACCACGUACAUCUUGUGUUUGCUUUCCUAUCUCUAUCCAUUUAUGUACUUAUCCACACUAAUGACCGGAGCAAUCUAGCGAAGAUCACAAAAAGUGACCGUUUUCGCUACCUAGGAUCUAUCUUGCAAGAGAACGGAGAAUUAGAUGGAGAUCUCAACCAUAGAAUACAAGCUGGAUGGAUAUAGUGUAAGAGUGCAUCCGGCGUGUUGUGUGACCGUCGUAGGCCACUGAAGCUCAAGGGAAAAUUUUAUAGGACGGCAAUAAGGCCUGCGAUGUUGUAUGGCACAGAAUGUUGGGCGGUGAAGCAUCAACGUACACAAAAUGGGUGUAGCGGAGAUGAGGAUGCUUCGUGGGAUGUAUGGGCACACGAGAAAGGAUAAGAUUGGGAAUUAGGAUAUCCGAGGUAAAGUAGGAGUAGCCAAAAUUGAAGGAAAUAUGAGAGAAAAUCGGUUCCGGUGGUUUGGACAUGUGCAAAGAAAGCCUACUGACGCUCCAGUUCGAAAAUGUGACUACGGGACAGAGGUUCGGGGCCGAAGGAGUAGAGGAAGACCUAGGAAAACUUUGGAAGAGACCCUAAGAAAAGACUUGAGUACUUGGAUUUAACGGAGGACAUGACACAAAUGAGCGCAAUGGCGUUCUAGGAUUCAUAUAGCUGACCCCACUUAGUGGGAAAAGGCUUUGUUGUUGUUGUUGUUGGUAGUAUAAAAUAGGGGAAAUUAGAGUUCAUUAUUUAAGCACUGAAGUAAAAAUUAUGUAUACCGAUCUCAAAAAUAAAAAUAGUACCACUGGAGAAUAGAUUCUCUCCGAAUUUGAACCAUCUAGAUCCUGCAGAUCUCUUUAUUACCAUCACUCACCUCCCCCUCCCCCUUCCACACCAAUUCCCACUAUACAUAAUUCCCCGACCUUCAACCCCUCCCAUUUUCUUCUACUUCUUUCUUUCUAUACGGUUCUACUUCGUCGAUCGCCGCUGGAAAAGAAGGCAAUGAUGUUGAGGAGAAAGAGAAAGGGUGAGAAAGUUUAAGGGAAAGAGUGAUUUUAAGCGCACAAUUUUACGUGAACAGUUAAGAUUAUUUGGUCUGCAGGAUUCGGAUGGUUCUGAUCCGAAAAGGAUCUUUCCGUACGGUUGAAGCCUGGGUGACCUCGAUAAUAUCUCUAUUAAAAUAUUACUCAACACGUGUACAUAGCAAUGUGGGUAAUUAAGGUACAUUUAGGGUAUUAACCAAGUUACUAAUGAUUCCUUUCUUCUUCUUCUUCUUUUUUUGUACAUAGCAAUGUGGGCAAUUAAGGUACCCUUAAGAAGAUGUUGAUGCAAAAUCUCUUUAAGGUCAUCAAUUAGAUGCUCAUAUGAUGCCCACGAUCGACUUCACUUGUUCAGUCGGAAUUUUAUGUCUUUAACUACUGAUGAAUCCGAUUCUAAGAUUAUAAAAGUAAAGCCAACAUCCCAAUAUCAGAAGCACAACCCAUGAUGAACACGAACUGCCAUAAUCUUAUUAAGUUAGUAUGAUUGUGAUGCUGCAUAUGAAUGCAGAACAAUUAUACACUAAACUUAUUAUACUGAUCUUUCAUUACUAAUUGAGCUCAAAUGUUACAUGUGGGAUCAAAUAUAAAUGUAACAUUCUUCCUUUUCGGUGCAUCAUCGGAAAGUUAAAACCUAUAUAUAAGUAAUAAGUGUUAAGUCGAGUAGAAGUUAUAAAUAUUUAUUUGUCAAUGUAACAAAUUUAAAUCUACAGGUAGAUCCCACUCCAACAAAAAAAUAUGUCAUUCCUUAAUGCACAUACUCAAACGCUAAAACUCAAAUUUCAGUGUUAAUAUUUGAGUAAAUGAAUUAGAGGAUAAAUCAAUAAAUCUCCAACCUAGCACCAUCCUUUUAGACCAAAUUUAGGAAAGUAGGUAUAUAAAUAUAGAUUCUACAUUGGAUAUGGGCUACCUGGUACAGAUUUUACAUUGGCAAUGGGCUACCUGGUGUGGAAUUUCUUAUUGUUAUGAGUAAAUAAAUUUUGAAGUGAGCACAAACAUGAUACAAAUGAAAACUGGCACGUCAAUUGAUAUAUUACAAGUUAAUGGGUUUGAACUACUACGUUUUUAAUUCAAACUCUCUCUUCUCGUUUUAAUUUAAGCUAGAGUAGUAGUAUCGUUGUAAAAAAUAAAAGUUAGCAAAAUAAGUGAGUGUUUCUAGUACUUCGACAAAAAAAAAUGAAAAAAACAGUGAGUGUUUCUAGUACUGUCUCUACAUGGAAUUAUACUUGCUAGGUUGAUACUUGAUACAUCACCUUCAGAUAACGGAGAACCAAGCAAAUGAUUGCCUCUAAAUGCACAUACCUGGAAAAACCCUAACAUUAUUUAUGGAGAGGAUUUGCAGGGUCAGAUUGUCACAUCCCGGCCCGGGGCGGACCACUUCCCGGGCACGCUCCACCACCGUAGCACGAUAUUGUCCGCUUUGGGCCCCAACUACGCCCUCACGGUUUUGUUUCUGGGAACUCACGAGCAACUUCCCAGUGGGUCACCCAUCCUGGGAGUGCUCUGGCCUCAUUCUCGCUUAACUUCGGAGUUCCUACGGAACCCGAAGCCAGUGAGCUCCCAAAAGGCCUCGUGCUAGGUAGAGAUGAGAAUAUACAUUUAAGGAUCACUCCCUGGGCGAUGUGGGAUGUUACACAGAUUGGUAGGCUCCUACAAAUCAUGUGAACUACACAAAUAAAGCAAAAACCAUAUCAUAAAAGCACUUUAUAAUUUACUUCUUUAAUUCGAUCUUAAUAUGGCAUAAUUUUCCACUAUACCAAAUAUUUCCUCUUCAACAGUAAACUCCAUAUCAGGAAAUAAAAUAAAUAUUCGUUUUAACAUCUUUUUCAAACAAUAAAUAAUCUACACUAAAUUCAUCUAAAUUAUAGAGGAGAGAGUUUGGACUCGAAAAUACAGUGGGUUAAAGAGAAAGAUCACAAUCUACCCAGAUCAAUUUGCCAUUUGCAUCCGUUUUAACGUCACUUUUAUUGUUUAACAUGAUAUAUUGUAGCUAACUAUCAUUUAGUCUAUUGACACUUAAUCUCUACCACGCCAAAUUUAGUUUAAAUUUAUUCGAUCUAGUUAGUUUAAAUUUAUUCGAUCUAGCUAGUUUAAAUUUAAUCUCUACCAUGCACUAGAAUAUUAACAUGAUUCAGUAAUUUUAAUCAAUUUACAAUGACCAUGUUAAUAACGGUUGAGCCAACCCAAAGUCUAAUUGAAUUAGUUUAACAAUGACCCCAGUUAGUGCUGUAUGCUCUCCGUUUAAAAACAUUUGAUGUCGGCUUCAGCUCAAGAACACAGGCAGUGACACACCAGCACAACCACCUUAAUUAAAAAAAUCAUCACCUUAAUAAUCACUUAAUCACAUAGGAAUAUAAUAAUAUAGGUCUUCUAGAUUUUUUAUUUUUUUAUUACCUUUUUAAGAACGUUAGGCCAAGAAUGCAAGACAGGAAGAAGGGCAUAAAAUAUAAACAAAUAUUAAACAAAAGGUAUAUUCGUGCAGAGAUCCAUAAAUAUCUAUUAAUUAAAUUGCAAAAGCAAUCAGCAUUUGGGUUCCAAGAUGUAACCUUCCAAUUUCCAUUGUUUAGCAAACGUGCAGUCUCCCAUUGGUUCCCCAAAUUUGGUAGUUACAAUGUCAAAAAUUGACCACCCGAAAUAUGUCUAUAGUAUUAUUGAAUUGCAUGAAAUAAUGCAGUAUUUUCUGUGCGUCGGUGCUACACAGUCCAUGUUCCUUACACUUCACACUAGUGGUUUGCUUUUUUUGUAUGCAUUCCGUGCGCGCAGGGUGCCACUAUAUGCAAUCUGUAUAUUCUUGUUCCUAUUAUGCCACAUGUAACAUGCCACAUGACCUUUGGGUUGCUCUUUAUGCAUGUUCUUUUUCAUGCUUACAUAAUUCAGAUUCAAUUUUCUUAAACAUCACUAGCAAAAAGGAUCCAAGUUCAUUAAGUAUGUAGAUCUUAAAAUUUUAGCUGCGGAUUAGAGAUAUGAGAAUGAGUGUUUAAUUUAAGUUUUCGACUCUAGGGACUUGUUAAUUGCUUUGCGGAUUGGAGACAUGAGAAAAGGGUUAGAAAUAUAUGAGUUAUAUGCUAUAUAGGCAAGUUGGUGGUCUCAUUAUGUUUAAGUCUGGUUGUUAUGAAGUCGAUCUGAUAGAUUUAAUACCAGAAUAUUAGAAGCAAACUAGUUGAGUUUGUGGAUCCACUAUUAAAUGAUGAUUUGAGAUCACAAGUCAAUUUGAGUUGUGAUGUCAUUCUCCACACAGUUCAGAUAAAAGCACAUCGUUCUUCCUAGCCAUGAUUAAUUGUUUUGAGAAGUUUCAUCUCUCAUAUAUUUUGCAACAUUUGAUGCAUUGAUUUAUAUGGAUCUUCUUACUCUUCCAGCUCUAUCAGAGUCUGUUUUUGCUCGCAAGUACCAUUUUCUUGAGGUCAUAUUCUUUGAUCCGAUUAUAACUUUUGGUCUCUUUUAUGAAUGAAAUAUGUCAUUUUUUUAAUAAAAUAUAAAUAAUAAAAAGACAAAUCACUUUUGAGAAUACACUUAUUAGUUACUACUCGUUUAUACCCAAAGUUUGACUCUCACCCUAUUCAUUCUUAAAUAAAAAAAAUCUAUCAAUGCACUUUAUAAUCUUUCUUUUUACUUGAGUAUCCACUAAAUUUGGCUUUCGCUUAAAGUUGAUAUCAAUUUAUAUAAGAUUAAAAAAAUAUAUUGUUUCUUGAUUUGGGUAAAUUCUAUUCGUUUGCUUUAGGUCAAGCUAUUGAUGGAGUUGUGGUAAGAGGCCCAGUGCAAUAUUCCACAGUCGUUGUCAUUGUGUUGGUGCAUGCAUGCCUGCCUCCAUGGUUUGCAAAAAUUAAUUAAAAAAAUAUUUAGAUAUCUUUUUAAAAAAUAAUAAUAAUAAAUUAUAUAAAACAACCUCAACUAUUGGAUAAUUAACAAUUUCAUACCUCGUCUUUAAAAAGUUUCAAUGUCAUACCUUAUCAUCGAAUUUGUUGCAAUGUUAUACCUUCCGUUAGUUGUCUGUCAAUUCCUCUGUUAAAUGCUGAUGUGGCUGGAGACGGAGCCCACUUUCUAUUAAAAAUUAAUAAAUAUUAUUAAAAAUUAAAAUUAAAAUUAUUUAAUAUUGUUUAAUAUUAAAAUAUAAUUAAUUAAAAAAAGUUAUUAAAAAAAAAACCCAGUUCGUCUUCCCCCACAAGAGCCCAACCUGCAACCCCCAAAAAAAAAAAACCCAUCUUCAUCUUCCUCGACCCCCCUUUCCCUGCAACCCACCCCUUUCUUCCCCCUCAUGUCUUCCCCAAACCCACCGCGCACCCAUCCUCCACCUCUUCCUCCGCACCCACUCUCGCACCCAUUACCUGCAACCCAGAAAAAAAAUAACCCAUCUUCAUCUUCCCCGACCCCCUUUCCCUGCAACCUAGAUCUUGUCUUCCCCAAACCCACUGCGCACCCAUAACUGGGCACAGAGAAAAUAGGGGGAAUAGGUGUGGAUUUAAGAAGUGGGGUGUGUAGAGGAGGGAAAAGGGAGGGUGCGAGGGUGGGUGCAGAGUAGGAGGUGAAGGAUGGGUGCGCCGUGGGUUUGGAGAAGACGAGAGGGAGAAAAAAAGGGUGGGUUGCAGGGAAGGUGGGUCGGGGAAGAUGAAGAUGUUUUUUUUUUCAUGGGUUGCAAGUUGGGCUUGGGUGGGAGGGGGAGACGAACUGGGUUUUUUUUUUUUUAUAAUAACUUUUCUUUAAUUAAUUAUUAUUUUAAUAUUUAAAAAAUAUUGAAUGAUUUUUUUUUAGUUUUUAAUAUCUUUUAAUAGAAAGUGGACCCCAUCUCAAGCCACGUCAGCAUUUAACAGAGGAAUUGACAGACAACUGACGGAAUAUAUGACAUUGCAACAAAUUCGAAGAUAAGGUAUGACAUUAAAACUUUUUAAAGACGAGGUAUAAAACUGUUAAUGACCUAAUAAUUAAGAUAAUUUAAUGUAAUUUACCCAAAAAAAAAUUACUUUGGUAUCUUCCUAAUCGUACUGCACAUAAUAUAUAGGACAAUGGCAUGCAUGAAGCGUUUUUCUGCAACAUAUUUAAAUAAAAAAAAAAAGGAGAAUAGAAGAAAAAUAUACAGCCAUACGAUUAUAUUAUAUGGUUCUUCGUAUAAAUUUUUAUGAGAUUUUGUCUUAUAGUUAAUUGUGUAUGCAUCACCAACGUCACUAUGCCUCUUCAAUUUUCUCAAAUAGUCAAAGAUAAAACUUUCGACAAAAAAAUAGUCAAGAUAAAUUAGGGUGUUUUGCCACAUUAUUAAUAGUUUAUUGUGAGACUAAAUAUAUCAUUCUUCUUUAAUGUUGAUAAUAUUGUUUGUUAAAAAAAAUGUUUUGGGCUAUAAAUAUCCAAAAGCACUCUAAUUUCUUUAACCAAAGUAGGGUUUGAUAUCAAUAUGUAUAAUUUAGUGUGAUUGAAUGACGAAAUUCUCAUAGUUGUAUUCAGUGGCGAAGCCAGGAAUUGUCGAGAGAAGGGGCGAAAUUUAAAAGAGAAAGGUUCCAAACUAAAUGUAGACAACCAAAUUCUUUUAUAUAGUAGACAACAUUAAAUUCGCUCAUAUAUUUAUCAAGACAAAUAAGUUACAAUUGUUGCCAACAAGGCUUUAUGCCGUAAAUUUGCUACUCAUUGAUAGCUUUAAGUGAAGGGGGCAUUGCAGUGAUGCCCAUCUCUUUGAUCAUAAUACUAUAUGGCCUCAUUUGGUCUAGAGGACUGAAUUUACAUGUUUGUCCAUUCAAAUCCAAUCCUAGAAUCUAAACGAAGCCUAUAUUUGAUACAAGCAACUCUAGUGUGAUAUGCCAAAUGUGAAAACAAUGAACCUUAUUAACUUUUUCUUUCAAGAUAAAAAACUGCAACUUUAACCAAUAAUUGAUGCGUCAACCCCCUUCAAGCAUCAAAUUUUAACAAAAUUUGAACCCUUUCGAAUAAUGGCAUCUAAAAUUUGCCUAAAAAUCUACAAUUUUGAGGACCAAUCUAAAUCCCACAGUGAAAUUAGCGGCAAAAACGAAGGAUUUGGUGAAAAGCUAGUCUAAAUCAAAGAUCAAAUUGCAAUAAAAAUCAUGUAUAAAUAUGCAUCAAGAUUCAAUUCUUUAAAUUUCAAGCAGGAACAAACAUAUCCACUUAUUCAUCAAUAAUCAAUUAUUCAUAUCAAUAAUUAAUAUGUAUACUACGCUGUAAUUCAUAUAAAGAAUGUCAAUUAAGCAAAUGGUUAUGAUAAAGGGAAGUGUUAUUGGCACUCCAAAAAUCUUAUUCUACACUCCUCACAAGUGUAUUUUUUUUCCCUAAUAUAGAAAGUUUAGAGUGUAGAAUGAGAUUUUUAGAGUGCUAAUAACAAUUCCCAUGUUAAAUUAUGAAUUAAUAAUUUAAAUUAAAAUAAGGCAGAAGACACAGUAGUGGGGUGGGAAGUAGGGAAGUGAAUGUGUGAGAGUUAAUGGGGAUAAGUGGUCCCCCUUCUAUGUGUUUUUUUUGAUAUUUUUAAUGCCCAAAACAACGCUGUUAGGCGUAUAUUAUUUUUGUUUUUCCAAGGCAAAGGACGUGUCUUCUUCAUGGGAUUGCUUAUAACAAAACACAGCCACUGCAUAGAUAUGUAGCCUGCAGCAGCCAUGGCUUCACCUUGCAGGUUUUCCGACGACACCAGAGGACUGAACCAACGCUUCUAGGCUUGAUUUCUAGUGAGUGGAGAAGCUGAACUAAAGCUCUAGUCUUGUUUUCUAAUGAGGGGAGUGGCGGCAGCCACUCCUAGCCCUCACGUGGCUUCGCCACUGGUUGUAAUGAGUCUAUUAACAUAUUAUUCAAGGUUAUGAAAAGUUUCAACGGAUGUCGAUGGGACCGUAUUCUAUGCAUAAGCCACAUUGGUCAAUAUCGAAGUAUUUGACACAUGAUAGUACAAGGUUCGCGACGUGCAUUGACCCGCAAUAAAGGAACCUAGAGUUUAGGUUUUUUGUUUUUGUUUUUGUUUAUUUUUAACAAAUGAGAUUAUUUAUACUAAAGGAAAUGAUAGGUUAAAGUUACACAGUGAGCUAGAAAUAAUAUGGUUCAAAUUCAUCUUUGGCGAGAAUUGAAUUUAAGAUCUCUCAUUUACAAGUGAAAAGAAAUACUACUAAACCGUAAUACAAAAUGAUAUUAGAGUCUAGAUUUGAACCUUCCCAAAACUUCCUAUAUUUAUUCUGAUUUUAAUAUCUGAAGUAGGAUAUAAUAUAAUUAGGCACCAUUUUUAAUACAUACUAUACUAGCAUGAGUUUAUGUUGAGUGAGUUAAGUUUCACAAUAGCAUAAUCAUAAUAAUUUUGUUUGAAUUUGUUUUUAACGAAAAUUGAAUAUAUCACAUCUCUCUUACAAGUGAUGAAAAAUAUCACUAUACCAUAUUAAAUGGCAAUUAAGCAACCAUAAUAUUUAAGAAGAUUCCGUCUUUUCAGUGAGAACCUAAAUCUUGAGAUAUUCUUCGAAUAAAACUCAUGAGAACACCCAAUCUAAUUCCCUAUAUAAGAUAAACUCCACAAUCAUUCAAGAUACAAAAAAAAUUCAGACCUUAAAAACAUUUUUAUAAGAUACAAAAUAAUUUAUUUAAUACAAUACUUACAUGUAUUUUGUACAAUCAUCAUCUAUGGAUCAGAUUAAUUUAUGUGAAUAUAUAAUAAUUGUAUCAGAUACAUGUAAGUAUUGUAGUCAAAUCUAAUUUUUUUAAACACUUUUACUUUUGACUAAAUCACUAACUUAAGCUUCGAAGAAUAAUCCCGACAUAAAUUUGAUCAUUUGAGUGUUCUUGUUCAUGGUUAGACUAAGAGACCUGCCUAAUCCUAAUUAACAAAAUUUUUGAGAGAUGUCAUAUCCCUUGUAACAAAUUCAUAAAUUAAGGUAUGAUAUUGUAAUAUUUAAAAUAUAAGGUAAAAAAUUAUGGUGCGACUUAUAAUUAAAGUAGUUUGUAUAAUUUACCUUUAAAUUUAACCAAAAGAAAACAAGACCAAAGAGUUGGCACAAACACUAAAGAGUCCGAGUAAACAUAGUGAGGUGGAAAUAGAAGUAGCAAACACCUCCCUACAACACAGUCCGACUCCACGCAAGCAAUGAAAAGAAUCUUAGCUGGAUGCAGCUGCCCUCACUUGCCACUGCCACCUUCACCAACGGACUAUUUCUCCCAUUUCUAUAACCCUUUUCACUCUCAAGAUUCAAUCUUUUCACUCUUCCUCUCUCUCUCCUCACUUCCUCUCUCUAGACCGACAAAUUUCACUCACAAAAACACUGGGGACUCUGCAGCAACUCAAUCUCCAAGGUCAUCACAAUGGCCAACUUCUUCAUCUUCCUCCUGCUCUUCUUAUCCUCUCCACUCACCGCAUCUCCAAGGCCAAACCAUAGAGUCCUCCACCAGCCAUUUCUGCCGCAGGAAUCUUCUUCGCCUCCAUCUCCCUCACCUCCUUCCCCACCUCCGAACCCAACUCCCCCAGUUUCCAGUUCCAACUCUCCCCCUCCCAAUUCCCCUUUUUUCCCAUCCUUACCCUCCCCUCCGCCUACCCCUCCCUCCCCAACCACUGCCUUCGCCUCCUUCCCCGCCAACAUCUCCUCCCUCAUUGCCCCCCAGCCCACCAAAAACUCCAGCGCCCACAAGCACCUCGCCCUCACUAUCGCCGCCGUGCUCUCCGCCGUCAUGGUCGUUGCCGUCGCCGCAUUCUUCCUCUACCGUCGCAAACACCACAACAGCCGCAACUUCCCGGACAACGAGGACGAAAAGUCGUAUGUUAGAUCCGAGCACAGCAGCAGGCUAUUUCAGGUGCCCAAUCUCAGCCACUCCUUCAGUGGUACACACAAGGUCCGAACCGGCUCUGCCAACAGCUCCGAGUUCCUCUACCUGGGCACAGUGGUCAACUCGCGCAGACUCGAGGAACGAGUUGACCCGCGCGGGAGCGUUGGUCGUAGGGCCGAAAAAGAAACUCGGAAAGUCGACUCGCCGGACCUCCAGCCGCUUCCGCCGCUUGUUCGGCAAACCUCGAGGCUGAGCCGUUGGGAGAAUGCCGAACCGGUUCUGACCCAUGACCGAGAUGACGAGGAAGAGGAAGAGGAAGAAGAGUUCUACUCUCCCAGAGGGUCUUCGGGCGAUCGCGACAGCUCCAAUGGAAACGGAUCCGGGUCCAGGAGAGUAUUCGCGGCGGUUGCGGACGGCGUAUUUGAUGAAAGAGGCAGCGAAACGACGUCGUGUUCGUGCUCGUCUUCCGAGUUGGGUUCACCGUCUCGGUCACACUCAAUCAGUCUCUCGCCUCCGGUGAGUUUAAGUCCCAACAGAAGAUCAGAAGAGCCCAAACCGCCGCAACCCUCAGCCAUGCAUUACACGGCGCCGUUUGCUGAUGUCAAUGUACGGUCGCCGUCGUUGACUCCAAUGUCUUCGCCGGAGAGAGUUGUUGAUGAUUUCCCAUCUGCAUCGGACCGAAACGGAGGGUCUCCGUCGAUGUCCUCGAUAUCUUCGUCACCGGAGAGAGGAUUGGAGAAGACCCCUGAUGUACCGGCGAAAGUUUCGGUCGUUCCGGAUCAAAGUUCGCCGAUUUCUUCACCGGAGAGAGAUUUCGGAAGCAACCAACAUGCAUCAUCGAAAGUUUCGGUGGUUUCUGAUCAAAGUUCGCCGAUUUCCUCACUGGAAUUAAAUUUCAGAAACAAACCAGAUGCGUUACCGAAAAUUUCGGCCUUUUCAGAUCGGAACGAUCAAUCCCCUUCACCAUCUUUACAUUGUUCAUUGUCACCAGAGAGAGAAUCGAACGGUUCUGAUUCAAGAGCCAAGUCCUUUUCACCUUCUAUGUCACCACUGAGAGGUUUGGAGAAGAGCUCAGCUGCCUCACCAAGAAUUUCAAAUGCUUCGGAUCGAGCAUUUAUUCAUUUGGAUCCUAAAAUGCAGUCUCUUUCAUCAUCUUCAUCGUCUUCGUUGUCGAAUUCACCGGAGAGAGAGUUUAGUGGUGGUUUAAAGCAGCCUCUGACUUCAACCGAGAAAGAGUUUAGUGGUGGUUUAAAGCAGCCUCUGACUUCAACCGAGAGAGAGUUUAGUGGUGGUUUAAAGCAGCCUCUUUCGGUUCCUCAGCCGCCGCCAAUGCCUCCUUCACUGAGACUCUGGGAGAAACCAAGUCCUAGAACACCAGCUGGGCAAGUGUUCUCUAGGCCUCCAGCUCUCAUACCUCCUUCAAGACCUUUUGUGCUUCAAAACCCGGGAAAGGUCUCUGUUUCGCCGGUGAAGUUGACGCCAAGUUCAACACCAUUGGAGCCGAUUGAGGAGACUCCGAAACCAAAGUUGAAGCCAUUGCAUUGGGAUAAAGUUAGAGCAAGCUCCGAUCGCGAAAUGGUGUGGGAUCAGUUUAGAUCGAGCUCUUUCAAGUAAGAUAGUACUUGCAUUUACUUGCUUUUCUUGUUAUGGUAGACUUAUAAUUUAUGUAGUAAGUUGGUUGCUUAUACUGUGUUGCACUACUAAAUUUGUGGAAUCAUCGGACGGUGGUUACAGAUUGAAUGAAGAAAUGAUAGAGACAUUGUUUGUUGUAAAAACACCAAACCCGAAUCCAAGGGAAACGACCCCACGUGCAGUUCUUCCCUCACCAAAUCAAGAGAAUAGAGUACUUGAUCCAAAAAAGUCGCAGAAUAUUGCAAUCUCACUAAGGGCUCUCAAUGUGACCAUAGAGGAAGUUUGUGAAGCUUUAUUAGAAGGUAAAAACCAUUUUUUCUUCAAAGUUGUCUUCCCUUUUCCUGAAUGCUGAGAAAAUUAUCAUAUCAACGUUGAUGGUAAUAUUGUUUAUGCUUUUGGUUAUAUCUUGAGCACGCCGUUUAGUUAACAUUGAGAAUUUAAAAUUCGGUUGGCCUGGGAUAUAUUUGAAUUCUCGUGAUAAGUGGCAUUUCAUAAGUUCAUAAUAACUGUGAUUCUUCUUAGAUGAUUUUUUAUUGUAGCUGAAAUGGUUUGUGAUAACUUUUAUGUGAUAGUUGUGAAUUCAUGGUGUCCUUUGGUACUGGUAAUGAAUGCAGGAAACUCGGACGCUCUUGGAACUGAGUUACUUGAAAGUCUAAUGAAGAUGGCUCCCACCAAAGAAGAAGAACGGAAGCUGAAGGAAUACAAAGACAACUCACCAGUUAACCUUGGUCCUGCUGAGAGAUUUCUGAAAGAGCUGCUUGACGUUCCUUUUGCAUUUAAAAGGAUUGAUGCAAUGCUUUACAUGACUAAUUUUGAGUCUGAGAUCGAGUACCUUAAAAAGUCGUUUGAAACUUUGGAGGUAAAUCACACCAUUUCUUUCCCCUCUUAACAUGUGAUGCUAGAUUCCGUUUUGUUCUCUUAUGCUAAGAUGGUAACAUUAAGUAAACAUUUCCAUCAAGACGUGAAUAUACCGAGGCACACAAAAACAUUAAUAAGUUAAUUGAAAGUGUUCGUCAACUUAACAUGGGUAUUUCUAUCCAUGUGGAGAUGAUAGUUUUUCCAUCAGGCAUUUUCUCAUUGGAAUUUCCUUACUUAGGCUGCCUGUGAAGAAUUGAGAAACAGCAGGAUGUUCUUGAAGCUUCUGGAAGCUGUUCUGAAGACUGGAAACCGGAUGAAUGUUGGGACAAACCGUGGUGAUGCCCAAGCCUUCAAACUGGACACACUCCUCAAGCUGGUUGACGUCAAGGGGGCAGAUGGGAAAACCACACUCUUGCAUUUUGUCGUACAAGAAAUCAUAAGGACGGAAGGUGCUCGUCUCAACGGUGGCAAUCAAACUUCAAACCCAACCUUGAGUGAUGAUGUCAAGUGCAGGAGGCUUGGCCUGCAAGUUGUUUCAGCUCUCAGUUCAGACCUCAGUAACGUGAAGAAAGCUGCUGUCAUGGAUUCUGAUGUGCUGAGCAGUGAUGUUUCCAAGCUUUCUAAAGGAAUUAGCAACAUCGCGGAGGUUGUGCAAUUAAAUGAGACGACGGUGUCAGAUGACAGCAGCCGGAAAUUCUCAGAGUCGAUGAACAUGUUCAUGAAAUUGGCUGAAGAGGAGAUUAUAAGACUUCAAGCUCAAGAAAGUGUUGCAUUGUCCCUGGUGAAGGAGAUUACAGAGUACUUCCACGGGAACUCCGCUAGGGAAGAAGCUCACCCGUUUAGAAUCUUCAUGGUGGUCAGAGACUUUCUUACGGUUCUUGAUCGGGUAUGUAAGGAAGUUGGUUCAAUAAAUGAGCGAACCCAAGUUAUUACCGCCCACAAAUUUCCAGUUCCAGUAAAUCCAAUGCUACCACAAGUAGUUCCAGUAAAUCCAAUGCUGCCACAACUACUUCCUGGAAUUCAUGGGUUGAGGCGGUACAGUUCAUCCGAUGAUGAGAGCGCGUCUCCAUAGUUCUGCAGCUCAUUUCACGAUGGCGUUUUGGUUCGAUUUUGUAAAAACCAUGUUAAGUAGGCGGUUUGAACAGCUUGCAUGCCAGGUUUAUAUACAUAGCUCCAGGUUCCACCCCACCAAAAAUUUGUACUUGUAAAAAAUCAUGUAAGCGAUUUUGCGUUCUGUAGAUUAUAUAAUUACAGAGGAGGAGAUUUUAUCUGGGAAGAAUAAGUUGUAAUUCGGAUUAGAUAGUUUAUGGGAAGAUCGAUCACACAACUGCUCAAUGGAAGCAGAACUCUUGAGAGUACAUGGUUUAUGCAACUGUUCUGCAUUGUAUCAAGCCACUAAUUUGUUCUCCAUAACUCGUUUAUCCCCAAUUAUUCUUUGUAAUUUAAUCAUAGCAACGGUAGUGUUUGAUAUUUUUUGAAUUUUUUUUUUAUCUUUAUUUACUUUUUAUUUUUUGUCACAUGGCACUUUCACAAGGAGUGGAAUCCCAUGCAUUUAGGAUGUACGUACGCGAGGCUAAAUGAUACUCAAAUAUAGACGACUCGUUUCUGGCCUGACAUGUGCCAUAAAAGUUUCUCCUGGAUAUCGGUUUUGCAUUUGCCGCGUCAUCAAUUAACAACCAAAUUUUCGGAUUAUGUGACAUGGAUAUAAAAAAACACAACUUUAAAGAUACUAUUGCAACGUUUUAAAGAUAAGGUAAUUAACUGACGGGGUAAAAACUUAAAAGGAGUAAAAUGUACUUUGCCCGAAUUACUUGUUGAAACAUGAGGUCCACUCCUCUUUGGUAAAAGAAUCCAUGAAGAGAGAGGUCGUUUUCAAUUAAGGGGAACACGACAUGAUUUCGCAUGCUGCUUACUGCAAAUUUGAAAAAAUGAAGGAAAGUGACCGUUGGGGUCCUGCCUCUGCCCCUGCCCCUGCCAUUGCCUCUGCCACAGUUGAAAUAUCUAACCCUUUUCAUGUGAAGACACCAAUAUGGACCCUAGUUUUCACCUUCUUUUUUUUAUGGUAUAUCCUCAUCUUUAACUUUAACCACCCAAAGUAAAUAAAAGGACAGCAACAAGGAUAAAUUCCUUUUUUAAUUUUUUUUUUGGAAAUUCUUUUUCUAAUUUCUUUAUAAUAAAAGGGAGAAUUUUGUGGGGGUAGAAGAGACAGAAGAACAUGUCAGCCUAGUAAAAUUAGUGUGUUCGAAUAUUAACUUUAUCUUGCCAUCUAAUAUUACGAUCUAGUUGUAUUCUUCUUCAUUGGUAAGUGAGAGGUCUUAGGUUCGAUUUUCAUCAAAGACGAAUUUGAAUCACACUAUUGCUAGUUGAUUGUGAAGUUAAGCCCACCGCUCUUCUCUUAGUGUAGCUAAUAUUGAUUGUUCAAAAAAAAAAUUAACUCUUCCUUUCAGUCAAAGCAAUAUUUUUAAUAUCGAUUAUUAAAAAAAAAAUUAAGGAUGGGGUUGUAAAAAAAAAAAAAAACCAAGGAUGGGGAUUGGAACCCUAGAUGCAAGGCAACGGACAUAUUGCCCUAACGAACCGUGUCCUUAUCCCACAGGCUCUAAACGGUAAUUCUUUCACAUGCACAAUAUGGAUCUGCACCAUUGAUUUUGCUUCACAAAUCAGAGAUGAAAAGUAAAUAUGGGGUCUUGAAUAGUUGAAUGACAAUUUGACAUGACAUUUUAUCUAAGGUGAUGCAAUCCACACAUUAUUUUGUCGGAAUAUCAAAGGACAAGAAUUUACAAGGUGUAAAAAAUUAAAACGGUGUGUGAAUAACACUCCCCUUUAUUUAAGGGGCACAACAUAUAUGUAACUCUGAGAUAAAUAGCACCCCUUUCUGUUUAAAAUACAUAUCAACUGUCUCGUAACUAUUUGUGUCUAUUUGCUGACGACUCCAUUAGUUGAAAGCAAGGCUUGAGCAUCCAUUCGUUCCACUAUAUGGCGCGCUUCUUCCUCUGUUGCUGGAACCACAUUCAGUAACCUAAAUCCAUCUUUUGUGGCCUUUGCCUCAGGGCGUACGGUGAAAGUGAAAUAAAAUGUAUUUGAAACCUGUUUCAAACACGAGCAAAGCAAUGUGUAACUGGAACCGUAGCGAAUAGACCAUCAUAAAAACGAAAAUUCCUUAACCGAAAUGGGUAACUGGAACAGGAGUAACGUCAACUUUUAAUGGCAUUCAUUUAAAGCUAAAACUUAAGCUUUCUUAUUCUUUGAACGUGCAUUUAAGGGAACAUACCUCACUAGACCUGAGCUCAGGCCUGGUAACGUGGGCAACAACUUCGAUGUUAAUUAGAGGCCGAUCAGGAUUAUGAACUUCUGUGUAAAGAACACAUGAUUUGAAACGCAGGAAAUCUCCAACAUCCACCUGCUCAUUAAAACAUACAUGCUUCAAACAUAUAUCUAGCACAGAAAUGGAUGAAUAGAAAACCAGCUUACUCUUCCAUCUCCUCAAAGUCACAAUCGGGGUCCAUCCAGAUGCAAAAUAAACAGAAUAAAGAUACAACAACAACAACAACAACAAAGCCUUUUCCCACUAAGUGGGGUCGGCUAUAUGAAUCCUAGAACGCCAUUGCGCUCGGUUUUGUGUCAUGUCCUCCGUUAGAUCCAAGUACUAUAAGUCUUUUCUUAGAGUCUCUUCCAAAGUUUUCCUAGGUCUUCCUCUACCCCUUCGGCCCUGAACCUCUGUCCCGUAGUCACAUCUUUGAACCGGAGCGUCAGUCGGCCUUCUUUGCACAUGUCCAAAUCACCGGAGCCGAUUUUCUCUCAUCUUUCCUACAAUUUCGGCUACUCCUACUUUACCUCGGAUAUCCUCAUUCCCAAUCUUAUCAUUUCGUGUGCCCACACAUCCCACGAGGCAUCCUCAUCUCCUCUACACCUAUUUUGUGUACGUGUUGAUGCUUCACCGCCCAACAUUCUGUGCCAUACAACAUCGUUGGCCUUAUUGCCGUCCUAUAAAAUUUUCUCUUGAGCUUCAGUGGCCUACGACGGUCACACAACACGCCGGAUGCACUCUUACACUUCAUCCAUCCAGCUCGUAUUCUAUGGUUGAGAUCUCCAUCUAAUUCUCCGUUCUCUUGCAAGAUAGAUCCUAGGUAGCGAAAACGGUCGCUUUUUGUGAUCUUCGCUAGAUUGCUCCGGUCAUUAGUGUGGAUAAGUAUAUAAAUGGAUAGAGAUAGGAAAGCAAAACACAAGAUGUACGUGGUUCACCCAGAUUGGCUACGUCCACGGAAUAGAAGAGUUCUCAUUAAUUGUGAAGGGUUUACACAAGUACAUAGGUUCAAGCUCUCCUUUAGUGAGUACAAGUGAAUGAUUUAGUACAAAUGACAUUAGGAAAUAUUGUGGGAGAAUGAUCUCGUAAUCACGAAACUUCUAAGUAUCGGAGUGUGGUGUCGUCUUGACUUGCCUUAUCUGUCUCAUAGGUAGAUGUGGCAUCUUCUCUGGAAGUACUCUUCCUCCAUCCAGGGGUGGUAUCUUUAACUGGUGGAGAUGCACAAGGUAAUGUAUCAAUUUCACUUGAAGCUUACUUGUAGUUUCAGGCUUGGUCAAGCGCGAUACAAACCAUGUAGUAGGAGUCCCCCAAGUCGCCGAGCUAGGGGGUCUGCUGAAAGAGGUGACAGACAAGGUAAGCAAUCAGAGCUCCGACUGAUUGUUCACCUUCUCCCCAUCUUGCAGCAGCAUGAAGGAUAAAGAGAAGAAAAAUGAGAAGAGAUGAUAUGAGAUACUUUUGCUUUUGAAGAAGUAACUUUCCACAGGCUUAUUCUUGAACUGAGCUGGAGGGUUUUCUGGUUUCCUCCAGAGUAUAAGGCCGACUGAAGAAUUUGAGGGUCAAAACAAGUCCAUCAAAUCUAGAGUACGUUCCACCCUGCUGAUAUGGGAUACUUUUGCUUUUGACAGAGUAAUGGAUGUAUCGGCACGUGUGCUGUUACGCUUGUCUCCACAUGCUUCCUUGUAUCCUUCGCACUUGCCCUAUCUGUUCCUCAAGCAGAUGCGGAAUCUUCCCUGGAAACAUAAGAUGUUGAAGAUGAGUACUCGAGAGCAAUGCCAGGUAAGUAAUCAGGUAAGGGGUUCCAGGCAGUCAGUUCCUGGCUGGAAGCUUGAUUCCAAGUGCUGACUGAUUGCUCUCUUUCUCCUUGUCUUGCAGGUAAAAACAAGGCCAAAGGAAAAGACAGGGAAAAAGCAUGAUAUGGGAUACUCUUGCUUUUAACCCUGAUGAUAUGAGAUAUUCUUGCUCUAGUAUAGCUUGUUUGCAGAGGUAUUAUCGGGGGGAAAGAAAGCUGAAUAUUUCGAAAGGCUUCGUUGGGAGUGCCUCUCAGAUAUGAUGAAGGGUUGAGCAUUUUUGCAGGUCUGCCUGUCCGUUGGGGAUGGAGGUCGACAUAUAUAGGAGUCUCCCUAACAACAAGUAGUAAUGCUAUUCCUUUACCCUGCUUGGUCAUAGCACGGUAGUGGGAGCUGCCAGUUUCACAUGUUUUAACUCUGUCAGAGCACUUUGAAAAAGUGGUCUGUGGUAUCUGGCUCUCGAGAUUCGGAGAACGAUGCCUCUUCGAUUUUUGAGAAAGCAAUCAUGCUGGGGGUCUGGCUCUCGAGAUUCGGAGAGCAGUGUCUCUUCGAUUUUUUGAGGAAGUAAUCAUGUUGGGAGUCUGGCUCUCGAGAUUCGGAGGGCGGUGCCUCUUCGAUUUUGGAGCAAGCAAUCCUGUUGGGAGUGUUGUCUCGAAUGUGAGUAAAGGUUGGGCAUGUUUGCUAGUCUACCUUGCCACGAAGCACAAAGGUUGACACACAGGGACUUUCCAAUUAUCCAGCAAUGGUACUGUUCCUUUACCCUCUCUUCGCUUUUGAGAAAGUAGUCAUGUUGGGAGUCUGGCUCUCGAGAUUCGGAGAACGGUGCCUCUUCGAUUUUGGAGCAAGCAAUCUUGUUGGGAGUGUUUUCUCGAAUGUGAGUAAAGGUUGGGCAUGUUUGCUAGUCUACCUUGCCACGAAGCACAGAGGUUGACACACAGGGACUUUCCAAUUAUCCAGCAGUGGUACUGUUCCUUUACCCUUGUGGGUAAUAAUAUGGUAGCUAGACCUUCAAAAUUUAUGUGUCUAAACUUUGUUAGUGCUGUUUCUUUGCUAUUCUUUUACCUUUCUUGGUCAGAGCGAUGUAGUGGGAGCUGCAAGCUUCACGUGCUCAACUUUGGCAGAGAACUUUGGCAAAGUUAUAUGUGGUACCCAUGAGCUAUUGUUGCGUGUGGGAAGUGGGUGAUUGAACAGUAAGAUUCAUGUGCUUUCUACUUCACCAGAAGUCUUCGACAGAAUGCCCAUAAUUUCUGCAAAGCUGAGUGUGCGUGUGGCAGGUGCUGACAAGGCUAGAAAAGUAGGUGCCUCUUCGAUUUCUGAGAUCGGCCCUCGUGGUCUCUGAGCAGCCCAGCUUUUGAGAAAGCAAGCGCCUCUUCGAUUGAUUCGAAGAACGAUGCCCCAUCGAUUUUUUAGAAAGCAAUCAUGCUGGGGGUCUGGCUCUCGAAGAUUCGGGGAGCAGUGUCUCUUCGAUUUUUGAGAAAGUAAUCAUGUUGGGAGUCUGGCUCUCGAGAUUCGGAGGGCGGUGCCUCUUCGAUUUUGUAACAAGCAAUCUUGUUGGGAGUGUUUUCUCGAAUGUGAGUAAAGGUUGGGCAUGUUUGCUAGUCUACCUUGCCACGAAGCACAGAGGUUGACACACAGGGACUUUCCAAUUAUCCAGCAAUGGUACUGUUCCUUUACCCUCUCUUCGAUUUUUAAGAAAGUAGUCAUGUUGGGAGUUUGGCUCUCGAGAUUCGGAGGACGGUACCUCGUCGAUUUUGGAGCAAGCAAUCUUAUUGGGAGUGUUUUCUCGAAUGUGAGUAAAGGUUGGGCAUGUUUGCUAGUCUACCUUGCCACGAAGCACAGAGGUUGACACACAGGGACUUUCCAAUUAUCCAGCAGUGGUACUGUUCCUUUACCCUUGUGGGUAAUAAUAUGGUAGCUAGACCUUCAAAAUUUAUGGGUCUAAACUUUGUUAGUGCUGUUUCUUUGCUAUUCUUUUACCCUUCUUGGUCAGAGCGAUGUAGUGGGAGCUGCAAGCUUCACGUGCUCAACUUUGGCAGAGAACUUUGGCAAAGUUAUCUGUGGUACCCAUGAGCUAUUGUUGCGUGUGGGAAGUGGGUGAUUGAACGGUAAGAUUCAUGUGUUUUCUACUUCCCCAGAAGUCUUCGACAGAAUGCCCAUAAUUUCCGCAAAGCUGAGUGUGCGUGUGACAGGUGCUGACAAAACUGGAAAAGUAGGUGCUUCUUCGAUUUCUGAGAUCGGCCUUCGUGGUCUUUGAGCAGCCCAACUUUUGAGAAAGCAAACGCCUCUUCGAUUUCUGAGAUCAACCCUCGUGAUCUCUAAGCAGCCCAGCUUUUGAGAAAGCAAACGCCUCUUCGAUUUUUGAGCAGGCGCCUCUUCGAUUUCUGAAGCUCCGUCGAGUGCAGAUUUUUAUAGAGGCUGUCAUUAAGUUCCAAAGCACACUUGAAUCUCCACCAGUAGAAGCUUCAUUCUUGCACUUCUAAGAUCUUGAUUUGUCCGACCUCUUCUCUCUUCAACACCUUUGAAAAUGUCUGGCCCCUCCGACCGUCGUUUUGACUUGAACCUUGUUGAAGAGGCAGCCCCGCCUUCUCCAGACAACAUAUGGCGCCCAUCCUUCGUCUCCCCUACUGGUCCUCUUACCGUUGGGGAUUCCGUGAUGAAGAAUGAUAUGACCGCUGCGGUGGUGGCCAGGAACCUUCUCACUCCCAAAGAUAACAGACUACUUUCCAAACGGUCUGAUGAGUUAGCUGUUAAGGAUUCGCUGGCUCUCAGUGUUCAGUGUGCAGGUUAUGUGUCUAAUAUGGCCCAACGCCUAUUUGCUCGAACCCGCCAAGUUGAAUCAUUGGCGGCUGAAGUGAUGAGUCUCAAACAGGAGAUUAGAGGGCUCAAGCAUGAGAAUAAACAGUUGCACCGGCUCGCACAUGACUAUGCUACAAACAUGAAGAGGAAGCUUGACCAGAUGAAGGAAACUGAUGGUCAAGUUUUACUUGAUCAUCAGAGAUUUGUGGGUUUGUUCCAAAGGCAUUUAUUGCCUUCGUCUUCUGGGGCUGUACCGCGUAAUGAAGCUCCGAAUGAUCAACCUCUGAUGCCUCCUCCUUCUAGGGUUCUGUCCAGUACUGAGGCUCCAAAUGAUCCCCCUCCGGUGCCUUCUCUUUCUGGAGCUCUACCGACUGCUGAGACUUCUCCUAAGCAACCUUUGUGAAGGCUUCCUCUUGUGUGUUUAUUUUGACUCAUGUAUAUGUACAUAUUUGUAGCUUAUCGGGGAUAUCAAUAAAUAAGCUUUCCUUCAUUUCAACGUAUUGUGUUAAAUACACCAAAGCCUUCUUCGCUAAAUUCUUUGAAUUUUCUUUUGUUAAAGCUUGUAUGUUGAAGCUUUCUGAGUGGAGCAUGUAGGUUGGGGUAGUGUUCCCUUAAUUUCCCGAGUGAGGAAAACUUCUCGGUUGGAGACUUGGAAAAUCCAAGUCACUGAAUGGGAUCGGCUAUAUGAAUCUUAGAACGCCAUUGCGCUCGAUCCUGUGUCAUGUCCUUCGUUAGAUCCAAGUACUCUAAGUCUUUUCUUAGAGUCUCUUGCAAAGUUUUCCUAGGUCUUCCUCUACCCCUUCGGCCCUGAACCUCUGUCCCAUAGUCGCAUCUUCUAAUCGGAGCGUCAGUAAGCCUUCUUUGCACAUGUCCAAACCACCGUAACCGAUUUUCUCUCAUCUUUCCUUCAAUUUCGGCUACUCCUACUUUACCCCGGAUAUCCUCAUUCCUAAUCUUAUCCUUUCUCGUGUGCCCACACAUCCAACGAAGCAUCCUCAUCUCCGCUACACCCAUUUUGUGUACGUGUUGAUGUUUCACCGCCCAACAUUCUGUGCCAUACAGCAUCGCCGGCCUUAUUGCCGUCCUAUAAAAUUUUCCCUUGAGUUUCAGUGGCAUACGGCGGUCACACAACACGCCGGAUGCACUCUUCCACUUCAUCCAUCCAGCUUGUAUUCUAUGGUUGAGAUCUCCAUCUAAUUCUCCGUUCUUUUGCAAGAUAGAUCCUAGGUAACGAAAACGGUCGCUCUUUGGUAUUUCUUGAUCUCCGAUCCUCACCCCUAACUCGUUUUGGCCUCCAUUUGCACUGAACUUGCACUCCAUAUAUUUCUGUCUUUGAUCGGCUUAGGCGAAGACCUUUAGAUUCCAACACUUCUCUCCAAAGGUUAAGCUUUGCAUUUACCCCUUCCUGAGUUUCAUCUAUCAACACUAUAUCGUCUGCGAAAAGCAUACACCAAGGAAUAUCAUCUUGAAUAUGUCCUGUUAACUCAUCCAUUACCAACGCAAAAAGGUAAGGACUUAAGGAUGAGCCUUGAUGUAAUCCUACAGUUAUGGGAAAGCUUUCGGUUUGUCCUUCAUGAGUUCUUACGGCAGUCUUUGCUCCUUCAUACAUAUCCUUUAUAGCUUGGAUAUAUGCUACUCGUACUCCUUUCUUCUCUAAAAUCCUCCAAAGAAUGUCUAUUGGGACCCUAUCAUACGCUUUUUCCAAAUCUAUAAAGACCAUGUGUAAAUCCUUUUUCCCAUCUCUAUAUAUUUCCAUCAAUCUUCGUAAGAGAUAGAUUGCCUCCAUGGUUGAGCGCCCUGGCAUGAACCCGAAUUGGUUGUCCGAAACCCGUGUCUCUUGCCUCAAUCUAUGCUCAAUGACUUUCUCCCAGAGCUUCAUUGUAUGACUCAUUAGCUUAAUACCCCUAUAGUUCAUGCAAUUUUGUACGUCGCCCUUAUUCUUGUAGAUAGGCACCAAAGUGCUCGUUCGCCACUCAUUUGGCAUCUUCUUCGUUUUCAAAAUCCUAUUGAAAAGGUCAGUGAGCCAUGUUAUACCUGUCUCUCCCAAAAGUUUCCACACUUCGAUUGGUAUAUUGUAUGGGCCUAUUGCUUUUUUAUGCUUCAUCUUCUUCAAAGCUACAAUCACUUCUUCCUUCCGGAUUCGACGAUAAAAAGAGUAGUUUCUACACUCUUCUGAGUUACUCAACUCCCCUAAAGAAGCACUCAUUUCAUGUCCUUCAUUGAAAAGAUUAUGAAAAUAACCUCUCCAUCUGUCUUUAACCGCGUUCUCUGUAGCAAGAACCUUUCCAUCCUCAUCCUUGAUGCACCUCACUUGGUUUAGGUCCCUUGUCUUCUUUUCCCUUGCUCUAGAUAGUUUAUAGAUAUCCAACUCUCCUUCUUUGGUAUCUAGUCGUUUAUACAUAUCGUCGUAAGCCACUAACUUAGCUUCUCUGACAGCUUUCUUCGCCUCUUGCUUCGCUUUUCUAUACCUUUCACCAUUUUCAUCGGUCCUCUCCUUGUAUAAGGCUUUACAACAUUCCUUCUUAGCCUUCACCUUUGUUUGUACCUCCUCAUUCCACCACCAAGAUUCCUUUUGGUGUGGGGCAAAGCCCUUGGACUCUCCUAAUACCUCUUUUGCUACUUUUCGGAUACAACUAGCCAUGGAAUCCCACAUUUGGCUAGCUUCCCCCUCUCUAUCCCACACACAUUGGAUGAUUACCUUCUCUUUGAAAAUGACUUGUUUUUCUUCUUUUAGAUUCCACCAUCUAGUCCUUGGGCACUUCCAAGUCUUGUUCUUUUGUCUUACUCUUUUGAUAUGUACAUCCAUCACCAACAAGCGAUGUUGAUUAGCCACGCUCUCUCCUGGUAUAACUUUGCAAUCCUUACAAGUUAUACGAUCCCCUUUCCUCAUUAGAAGAAAAUCUAUUUGUGUUUUUGACGACCCACUCUUGUAGGUGAUUACAUGUUCUUCUCUCUUCUUAAAGAAGGUGUUGGCUAAGAAGAGAUCAUAUGCCAUUGCAAAAUCCAAGAUAGCUUCCCCAUCCUCGUUUCUCUCCCCAAAACCAUGGCCACCAUGAAAACCUCCAUAGUUGCCUGUCUCCCUGCCCACGUGUCCAUUUAAAUCUCCUCCUAUAAAUAACUUCUCCGUCUGAGCAAUUCCUUGCACCAAGUCUCCAAGAUCUUCCCAAAAUUUCUCCUUCGAACUCGUAUCCAACCCUACUUGAGGUGCGUACGCACUAAUCACAUUGAUAAGUUCUUGUCCUAUUACAAUCUUGAUUGCCAUGAUUCUAUCUCCUACCCUCUUGACAUCUACAACAUCUUGUACCAAGGUCUUGUCCACGAUGAUGCCAACACCGUUUCUCGUUCUAUUUGUGCCCGAAUACCAAAGUUUAAACCCUAAGUUUUCUAGAUCAUUUGCCUUACUACCAACCCACUUAGUUUCUUGUAGGCACAUAAUAUUUAUCCUUCUCCUCACCAUAACUUCCACUACUUCCAUAGAUUUUCCCGUUAAGGUUCCUAUAUUCCACGUUCCUAAACGCAUUUUGCUCUCUUGAACUCUACCCUUCUGUCCUAGCUUCUUCACCCUCCCCCGUCUAAUAGGAUCAAAGUACUUCUUUUGUGUGUCCCGGGUAAAGUUGAUAGGAGCAUAUGCUCCCAAACAACUUUGAGUGGAGUCGUUCGAAAAGAAGUUUCUAUGGCCCCCUUGCUCAUUUAACACUGCAUCCGGGUGCCGAUGGAGAUACAGCGACCCUUGCUCACUUAUCACUGUGCUCGGGCCACACAGCGCGCCACUUACGGGUGACGCCCUAGCUUUAGCGCGAUUUUGUUCUGGAUUCAUUUUCAUAAGGAUUCGACGUGAUCAUGGAGUGCCGGCUGUCGACUACCUGACGCCCUCCCCCUCCUCCUUUAUCCGGGCUUGGGACCGGCCAUGUAAGACAUAGGCGGAGUUAAACAGAAUAAAGAUAAUUUGGAUAAAAUAAAGAACAAAAAGAGAACCGGAAAAUGUGUUAAAAUUUCGAUCGAAAGAGAAAAUACUGAUGAUAUGGAUGAUUUGAACAAUUGAAAAGAAGGAAGCCAAUGGGGUACUCACAGGUUUCAAGAAGUCAACAUGAUCGACUUCCAGAAAGCAAGGCACCAGGCCUGCAAAGGCAUAAGCGGUAGAGAAAGCCAAUUCAAAUGCUCGGUGCAUCAAAAACCCUCCAAAGAUUCGACCAUGCAUGUUUCUCUGUUGUGGUUGGCAGAUCAAAGAGUUUUCCAAGCGGGUAUCCCUCAGAAGAAUGCUAUCUCUGUCUGCCAAGGCAGGCAUAUCACAGAAGAUCCUUCCCUCAGCCAACAGAGUUUCAAGUCUAUUUACUUCUCCAUUCUCAAGCUCCCUUCUGUCUCCUCCUCCUCUUGUUCUUUUCCUCAGAUUAUUUCUGGCGUCUGCUUCCUUGAAAAGCAAUAUUUCUCUUUCAGUUUCUGGUGAUAUCCGAUUAACUGCAGCAGCUUUCCCAGUCUUAGAAUCACGUGCCACAAACAUGAAGUUUGCUGAAAGAGCUACCGAGUCUGCAUUGUCAGAUCCAUCUGCCAAAAAAGUUUUCUUAUGAAAGUCUGAUCGGUCAGAACAUUAAGCACAUCCCUUCACAAAAAGAGCAUAAAUUUAAAAGAUCACACCAUUACUGAGCAGACAGAUGAUAUAAUAGUCAAUUUGUAGUUGACAGGAUGACAAAUUGGAUCGUUGUUCUUAUAACAGCCCAUUUGUGGGCUUGUGAGUUUUGUUUCCAGAUAUCGAGAUUACGUUAAACAGAGGCAAACUGAUUAUUGUUCAUUAAAAAAAUUAGAAGGAGACACCAGUGUCCAUAAGCAAAUUCUAUUUCUAACAUUGAAAAUGCAAUUGCAAACUUUUAAUAGAAGUUAAGCCUUCUGAGCAAAAUGCUGGAAAGGAUAUAGAAAGUUCUAGUUGAACUUUCAAAGGUUAUCAGAUUUCAAAAACAAAGUUACGUCAAAUUCACAAGUACCUUGUGUUGACUGAAUAACUUCUAGUUGAAUCUCAAUAGAUGACCGCCCCACCCAUAUGACAGCACCAACUAUUUUCAGAUCGACAUCAACACUAAUCGACUUCUUCAGGACAAUCUUGUCCACCGAUGCGGUGACCAGCAAGAGUGGCCUUGUUGUGCCAUCAUCGUCACAGCAGUGCUGAUCCAUAUAAAGGUUUAAAAUUAAACAACAUGAAGAGUACAAGCAAGAAAUUCACUUGGAACAAACGUAAUUUAACAUGAAAUAAACUAGCAACUUAUCUCGUCAAUCACAAGUAUCUUCAGAAGACAAAUUCAAUCACAUUAUUCAACUAGACUGAAACAACUGAGAAUACAUUUUGAAAUGAACAUAACUUGAAUGGCUCUUUGCAUUAUAUCAAUAUUUAGAGUCAAACAGACAUCGCUGCACAUGAUCAUCACCAGGCUUCCACAGCCCCCCCUUUGCAUCAUACAUAAUAAAACUGUACCAAAGUAAUUCAAAGCUUGCGACCGUCCAAAUUUUACGGCACUCACCUUUCUGUUUAACUAGCAAUACAAAGAAGAGAAACUGUCUCUUGGUCAAAUAAGACACCGUUCCCAUGACUUACAAAACUGUUCGCACUAGAAACUAAACCAAUCAACGCCUCAAACAAAAUGCAUUCCAGAUUAUGGCAGCUCCUUAGAAUAAUCCAAAGUUUGAAAAGAUUAUAAACACUCCAAACCAGAAAGUUGUAGCAAUGUAUAGUUCAAAAGCUGGGGAUUUACGAAUUGAAAGUGCAAUUCAGCCUAAUUCAUCACAAAAUUCUUACAUAAACAAUCAUAAACCCAGUUCAAGUGAUCAAACUUCAAGCAGAACCCACAAAUCCAGUUAUAAUAAUAAACACUAAAAAAAUUCUACCUUUACAGUAAUGGUUCCAGCUAAAGCAUCAAGGUCUUCAAGCAAUUUCCCUAUUCUGACCUCAUUCCAAGGAUCCCUGUACUGCUCCCGCAAUAUAUAAUCCGUCGAAAAAUUGUACAGAAUCUUCGUCCUGCUCUGGGACGGCGUUUUAUUCAGCAACUCGCUCUGCGGCGGCGCGUCCUUGCGCGGGUCCAGAAAAAACCUCUCGAAGAUCUUCGACCUGGCUUCCCACAGCGCAUUUGUCACCGGCGACUGGUACAUUCCUGGCCAGAGGCUAAUAGGCUUUCGGGUCGAACCGUUGGGCCCAUCUUGGGCCGGAGGCGGGUUAUCGAAAGGGGAAGAGAGAGUGGCGACGACGGGAAUGGGAGCGGGUGAAUUGGGAGUUGCAGGAGAGGAAUUCAAGUCCAUGGAAUUUGGGGGUUUUGGGAUUCUGGAAAUUUGAUUGAUUGAACUUCGAAUCAUGUAAAGCUGGGGAACGACAAGACUCUCAUGGAAUGAGUCUUUGCAUUGAGUUGGAGAAAAGUAUUUUAACACAUAUUUUAUUGGGUUGGUGAGACAUGUGAUUAGGCAUGAGUUCUUACAUUUAUAAAACAGAAAUUUUAACGAAAAGUUCAUGGUAAUGCUCAUUUUAACGAAAAAUUAUAUUUUUACAUAAAAAAUCAAACAUGUUACUAUUCAUUUUAUUUUUUAUUUUGUCCUUAUAAUUAAAACUCAAAUUUUCAAACAUUUUUCAUUAGUUUUCCUUUUAUAAAACAGGUUAGCACAUUUGAUAUCUCUUUAUACCCAUAUUUACUACCUAAACUACCCUUACAAACCCAAUUCAAUUUAUAAUUUAUCUUAAACCCAUUUAAAAAAUAAAAAUCUAAAAUCAAAGCAUUUUCUACACAUUAUCUCAUUCCAACAGUUGCUUUUUGAUGGAGUCUUCAUCAACCUCUACAGCGUUGUUUUAAAAAAAUCUCAUGAUAUUUUGCGUGACGAUGUAUGUUGCAUAUGAACUUAAGUUUUUAUGGUUUGAUGAUAUAAAAACUUAUAAGUUAUAACCUAUAAGCAUAUAUUGCUAGAUGAAUCAUGUCUUAUCGAACAAAUUGAAGGAAGUAGAGGAAAUUAAAAGAUGUACACGCACACUUAUGAAUGAGAAGGCUACUUCCCUUGCCUACAAAAUAAUACUAAACACCAGAAAGAGGACAAUCGGUUGUCUUGUAAAUGAAGCAAAGCUGACCAAAGGCCAAAAAGAACAAAAGAAUAGGGGAACUUGCAUAGGCAGCAGAGUCAUAACGUUAUAUAUGACAUCUAAAACAAUAAAUUAAUUCUUGCAUAAAUCCAUUCAUACUUAGUUGAAGGAUUCAAAACUUUAAGAUUAACGUCCACCUAUAAAAAAAAGUUUACUUUUUCUCAAUGGGAGAAUCUUAGCGUUUUUGUCAAAACAUAAUGUAUAAGAAAAAUUACGUAAUAAUUAGAGCUUGAUUAUUAGGGGUGGAUUUAUUGAUAAAUCUUAUUUUUUUUGUUAAUUUUAUUUUGUACUUGAUGAUAAUUAUGCAAUAAGGUAAUAAAGAAAUUUCACAUUUAAAAUUUAAGUUGGGUGUAGAAAGAAGUUAGAUAGGUUCAAAUAAAAAUUUUCAUCUAUUUUUAACGAAAAUCGAACCUAAAUAAUUUAGAGGAGUUAAAAAAGAGAAAGCAAACGUGAUGAUCUUACAUUCUAAUUUUUCUAUUUGCACUUAUUCUCAUUGCGUAUUUGUUACUCUUCUUUUAAUUCAAUCGAACAUAAAAGGAGCGAGAAAAUUGUUAGUCUUCUUUAAAUUCGAGGAAUAUGUUUCCAUUUCAACUACUUUUUAACUUUUGCACUGUUUUAAAAUGCUAGACAAAAACCAGCUUAUUUUAUAAGCAGAAUCUCUGUUAUACAAUAGCACUGAAUGGACAAAGAUUUGAGAUAUUAUAUAUGCUGUUGACAAAAAAAAAAAAAAAAAAAAAAAGAACAGAAGCUAUUGGAAAUUGGCAAAAGUACUAACUAUUUGCCUGCUCCACAACAAAUUUUAUGAUCUAAACAGUUCAAAUUUUAGGUUAUUAUAACUACAUUAUUCAUGCAAAAUUUCAUUCGAAUCACAAAUCAUUUUGCCAUUCAAUUAUUAUGGUAAACAUUUCAUUGUUUAUCAACAACUUUGUCACCGUCUAUUUGUCAUGUCACAAUUAGAUAACUAAAUAACUUAUGUUUUCAAUGAAUUUUUGCAAAUAUGAUCUUUUAAUAAUAAUCUAGAAAAUGAUUGGCUCAAAUUUUAAGAAAUAUUGUUUAGCGAGUCUAAAUGAGUGGUUAGUUUCGUAUUAAAAUACUAAAUAGUUAGCACUUGAGCAUUCUUGUACAUAUUGAUGCAAUGAUUUUUACAAUGAGUGAAGAAAUAAAUUGAUAUCAAAUUUUUCAUCCACGAUAUUUGAACAUAAACAUUGAGUAUAUAUGAAUAAAUACAUUUUAAGCACAUGAGCUAUAAGCUCCUUGCAAGUCAAUUUAACCUACUAAAAAUAUCUUUAACCAAUAGAUUACUAAGGUGAUCACUGGUUUUGAAUGUAUAUGUGUUUCUUUUUUUUUCUUUUUUCUUUUUUUUUGAAAUGGUACAAUAUUCAUUGAUUAAGGGAAAUAGCGUGCAUAAUUGGCCUUAUUAAAAAAUUUGUUAGAAAUUUCAACCCGAUUCAAGAAAAAAAGAGCGUCAUGCACAAACAACAUAAGUGAACCUAUCCUCAAGGAAAUAUAAUUAUAAAACAGCCACAUUAACUAGAAAUAUCCUCUAGUAAGAUGUCAAUGAUGAUGUCCGGCCGGCGGUUCCUCGAACCAUGACACUUCAUAUUGUAUUCCAAUUUCGGUCCGAGUAAGCGCAUAUGAGCUGCAUUAUUAGCCUCUAAGGCCAUCUCUAACCGGGGGUUGGCCAGAGGGCUCGUUUUAGCCCUCUGGCCCUCCAAGAUUCUCCAAGAUAUUAAUAUUUUAAUGAACAGUACAGGGCCAUAUUUGCCUCUGUUUCCAACCGAGGGCCAGAGGGCCAGAAGGCUCGUUUUAGCCCUAUCACAAAAAACCAUCUCCAACCAAGGGCCAAAGGGCCAUAGGGCCAAACCUAAUUUAUUAUUUAAAAACUACAACUAAAAUGUUGUUUAAGUUUCAUGUUGUAUAAUUUUUAUGUUGGUUAAUUUUAUUUAAUGUUGUUUCAUAUUGUUUAAUGUUGUUUCAUGUUACUUAAUUUAAUUUAGUUUCAUGUUACUUAAUUUAAUUUAAUGUUGUAUAAUGGCUUAGGAAGUUAUAGGAAAAAAAUAGAAUUUAAAAAAAAUAUGAAACAAAUUUUGUCAAAUAGAAGUUAUAGGAAAAAAAAUGGAAUUUAAAAAAAAAUAUGAAACAAAUUUUGUGAAAUAGAAGUUAUAGGAAAAAAAAUGGAAUUUAAAAAACAAUAUGAAGUAAAUUUUGUGAAAUAGAAGUUAUAGGAAAAAAUAUAUAUGAAACAAAUUUUGUGAAAUAGAAGUUGUGAAAUAGAAGUUAUAGGAAAAAAAUGGAAUUUAAAAAAAAAACCAAAUUUUGUGAAAUAGAAGUUAUAGGAAAAAAUAGAAGUUAUAUGAAAAAUUUUGUAAAUAAAAAAGAAUAAUAAUAAUGUAAAAAAAAAAAUCAAAUCAAAUGCAACGGCUAGUAGCCGUUUCAUUUGAAUUUUUUUUAAAACAAUCCUGUCGGUUAUAACGGACAGGAAUACACCAUUAUCUAUAUAUAUAAAGUGAGAGCCCCAGUUUGGUGAAACAUUCAAUAAAUCCAAUAUUGCCCUUUGCUUCCUUCACAAUUAAAAACCACAAAAGUUUUGAAAAUGAGGACAAAUUCGUAAAAACACCAUAAUUGGGUAGAAAACAAAAUCUAAAAAGUAUUGGAAAAGAAAACAGAAAAUUGAAAAAAAGAAGAAAAACAAGCAUGUAGUCUCGGAGCCUCUCAAACUGCUAAGCAGUAGUGGGCAGUUUUCUCCCCCAAAGAUUUCCACGAUCUGAGUUUGGUGGGAAGGUUCAACACUAACCACCUGCAUACCACCAAUAUUUAGAGAUGAGUAAUCGGAAGGAGGCUAAUUUUGGUUUUCAGGAGUUCGCUGUGUGGUUUCAGUUCAUUCUAAACGAAAAAGGAUCGACAAACUCAGUGACAGAAAUUAGUAAAAGAUUUGAGCUUUCGGAACAAUUAUAUGUGCAAAAAUCGAAAACUUUCAUCGGGUUAGUGAUUCAUGUUUUCAGUUUUCGUUCUCUUCAACUUUUGUAAAUUCGAUAAAAGUUAUUUGUUCAUCCAAUUGGGUUUUUAGGAAAUGUUCAAUCUCUUUGUUUUUAAAGGAUAUGAUUUCGGCUGCAGUUUAGGUUCUUGGAUUGAUUCCACAUUUCAAAUCCACUUCUGACCUACUAACCUUGAUGGAGGGGAGGGGCAGAGGAUGAAGAAAAUUUCGGGCAAAGAGCUUUGACUUCCUGAUUCACUGCGGCAACAACAUACCACCAUCCUCCUUUCGUUCCCAUGUCACCAGAAGCAACAAGAAGAUAUAAAACAAAAUUGGUGUUUUGAAAUUCUGAUUAAUUUUGCUCAAGUAAUGAAUAAUUUUGAUUACUGUUUUUAGUCAUUCACAUGUUCUUUUUUUUGUUGUCUUCCAUUUUUCGUAAAUCCGAUUACAGUUUUUAAAACAUCAAUUCAUGUUACUAACAAAAAAUUUCAUGGCUUUCUAUGGUUGUACAGACUGAUUGGUUGCUGACCCAUUAAGGUACCUUAAUAAUUCGCCCCUGUUCUUUGAACAGGUUUGUUUGUCUUGAUCUGACAUUGAACAUAUGUCAAAUUAUACAUGCCAUGCAAUUUUAAUUGAUUGCAAGCAAGCUUAUUUGCUUUCUCUGAUGUACUUUAAAUUUCUCUCUUGGCUUCGUUUGCAAUCUUUUUUGGAUUAAUUCUUCAUAUUCUCCCAAUUUUGUAUAUGUUGGACAAAGAAAUUGUUCUCUUAUUUCUAUCAUAUGUUUUAACUGUUAUUAUUUCAAAGUAUGUCAUUCCUGGCAGAUUCUAACAGAUUUUGCUAUUCUCAAGCGUCAAAAGAAAGAAAUUGAGGAGCUUUGAGCCAAAUUGAGUUUAAUUAUAAAUAUAGAUCGCCUACGUAAAAUAAAGGAAUUUAAAUAUUCUGCAUGUUUUAGGAAUCUCAUUCAGAAAAGUUGGGCAGAGGACAUCUUUAUUGGUGUUUUAUUUAAUACAUUUUGAAUCUUAUCCUGCAGCCUGUCAUUUUUCUUCAUGGGGUUCUGGAGGAGUAACUUCACCAAGUUUUCAAAGUAAUCAAAGAUUCUUCAAUCCCGAGUUGUACCGAUCAUUCUGUUUGAUCAGGUUGCAGUAUGUUCACCCUUUAUGAUAAGUUAUUAUAUAAAGCUCAAUUUGUUUAUGUUUUGGUAAUUUUGUAGUAGAAAUGCCAGAAAUCGAUAAUGUACUUAGUUCCGUUCCGUUUCCGGGAAUUAGUUUCGAUAGUUUGAAUGUGUAAGUCGAGUGAAUUAAGGUUGUUGUAAUCUAUUUGUGAGUUUAAGUGAUUCCCCUCAUUUGGUUUUCAUUUUAGUUCGGCUUUAUAGUAAAUGCAAUUCCAGUUCCUAAAGCUCAAAGAGAAGGUCGACAAAUGUACGUUUACAGCUAUAUGUCGUGUUCCUUUUGAGUAUGUGAUUGGGCUUUUGUCUUUCUUCCAUUUGAAUCAUCAGUUUUCCUUUCAAUUUUCACGGAAUUUUUUUUUUGACAUGUAAUGGAAGUUUGUAGGGUUUAUGCGAUUUAUAGUGAUGUAAAUAAAGUUGUUGCGAAGAAGACCUCCCUUACUCUCUGAAACCGUAAACGGAACGAAACGGUAAUUCUCCGCGCCUUCUCCUUUUCCAUUGAAGAGUUUCAAAUUACUUUCCUAUUUUUUUUUCUCAUUGAAUUGUCUUUCAAGUGUAAUUAUUUAAAUGGGAUUGACACAUAUACUGGAAAUAUGAAAUUGGAAAAUUUCAACAAUGGGAUUGUGUGGCACAAUAGCCAGUAGACAAAAGGGAAUAGAUUGAAUUAGUUGGACUCAUUUUUUACUGCCUUAUUGCAGAGAUUAUCACUUCCCUCCCCAACUUUUUACUGAUCUAUGUCCACUUCGUCCUACUUAUUUAAAUGCCUUAAUCUCUUGAAUGCUUCUUCUUUGCUUUUUUGUCCAUUUUCAGUUUUUAAAUUGUAUUCUUUGUUCCUUAUAUAUUGACAUUUUGUAUUUUGCUUGCUUAAGUCAUUACGAUUCUCAUACGACUGGGAUCAUGAAUAUUAUAGAUGGACCCAAUGGAUCUUCCUUCAGCGAUUAAAGAGGGGAUUGGCGUAUCAGGUAUGCAUAAGAUAUUGGCGGUGGUAGUUUCUAUCAUUUCCACCAGUGCACAGAUCUAAUACUCUACUUUGUUACAUUCAGGCUGAAGUGCCAGUUAAUUGGUGCCCGCUUUUGGUACUGUAUUGGCAAAUGAAGAAGUGAUAAGAUGGUUUCAGUGACCGUGGGGAUCAGAAAGGUAUAUAUUGGUUUGGUGCAUUUUCAUUUUACCAUCUAAGAUUAUAAAAAAAAAAAAAAAAAAAAACUUAUUGGCUUAAUUCCAAUUUUCUGAUGGUUUUAUAAUUUUACUAUGUCAAUUUGUAGUGUCAUUAUUUAUUACCAAGCAACCACUGUAGAGAUUAUAACUUCUCUCCCCAACUUUUUACUGAUCUUUGUCCACUUCAUCCAAUUAUUUAAAUGCCUUAAAUCUCUUCAAUGCUUCUUCUUUGCUUUUUCGCCCAUUUUCGGGUUUUAACACAUUUUGUGAUUGUGCAACAGGUAUUGGAUUGAUUUUGGCAAGUGUAAUUUUUUGUUAACAUUGAUUAGAUUCGGACCUUUGUGUCAAUUGAAGUCAUUGCUGCUCGGUUAGCUGAGGUAUGAUUGCUAGCUUUUUCUCUUUAGUGCAAUACAAAAUGUUUUGAGUUGUUAUAUGGACUUAAGAUUUAGUAAGUACUUGCCGAAAGUCAUGGGAUUUUGAAAUAUCGAUGUCUUGCUUGCUUAUAAGCUUACAAAUUUAUUUUUAGCUUAAACAUCUAAGAACCAAGGUAGUCCUUUUUCACUGCCUCACUGCGUACAAUGUGUUCAUGAUUUACACAAUAGAAUCCUCAACUCCAUGAUUACCUGUUUUCUUUCAUAUAUGUUUUUCUUUUACUAAUUUAUGUUUUAACAUUUUGUUCUCUUUCAAAUUUCGUAAAUCUGAGUUUUUGAAAACACAUACAAUUCAUGUUACCAACAAAACCUUUGAUGCUUUUACACACUCAUUGGUUGCAGACCCAUUUGUCGAGGCACGAACAAAAAGGAAGGGGGGAAACUGUAUUAUUGUCAUAGCUUUUAUGUUGGCAGUGAGCCUUGAAGAAAAGGAAGGGUGAUAACAGUGGAAGAGGUGGCUUUUUGCUUUUGGCCUUUUGUUUUCUUCAUUUUGCUGAAUGUUGAGACUUGAGAAAAGAACUUCUAAUGUUGAAACCUAAUUCAAUGUGAAAACGUACCUAAUCAUGUUAGCAUAUAAAUUUGAUUGUUAUUUUGUUCAAUUUACACCUUCACAUUUCUAAAUGAAUAUAAAUUUACAUUUUGCCUUCGCAGUCGAAAUCGAUGGUCAAAAAGCUACCCAUUAUUGAACUCUAUCCGAUAUUUCAUCUAUUCCCACUCCCUUAUAAUCCUAAAAAAUAUUAAAUGAAAUAUGUUCCAACCAAAUGCUUGACUUUUAAAUACUUGACAAUUAUAUCAUGUCCAUAUAUAAAUUAGAGGCAUUCACAUUAAGCUAACUCGACAAGAAACACAUCUCUGGUGCAAUAGGGAAUGUUGACAUUAAACAAUGAUAUGAUAGGGUUUAGGGUUAUUACAAAAAGUUUAAAUUCUACUCAUCCAGUUGACAUAAAAAUUAAAACGAUAUAAACUACGCUAAUUUAUAAUAUUUUUUUUUAAAAAAAAAAACCCUUAAGGCUAAAUUAUAUCCAAGGCCUAACACCAACCAACAAGUGUAUAAAGGCCCGUCAUUUUCUUGCAUUGAUACUUAUUACACUUCAAAAAUAUUUUGUGAUUAUUUUAUUUUGUUCUUUUGUAUUAUAGUGUUGUGUACAUAAAGCUUUUGUUUUCAUCUGUUCGUAGGCAUCUGUAUACACCUUUUCGUAUUUGUGGAAUGUCACAAAAUUUGUAUUCUAUUUAGGUUCAUUAUGUUUAUUAAUUUUUUAGAUAAAUUUUUCCAUGGAGUGUGCUCAAAGUCGUACAAGACAGUGGCGUCAAUCAUUGAGUCCUGAAGAACAUCAAAGAUAUCUAGCUCGACGACGUCUAAUAGCACAAGAAAAAAGACAACAAAUUCCAACUCCAAGUGAUGAUCAUACUACGACAUCUCCCAGUAACAUACAGCAAGAAAUUCCUGGUAUUUAUUUCAUAUUCUUUUUUCUUAAACUCAUAAUUAAAAAAAUUUUAAAAAUCUAAUUUCUAUUUUUUUUAAACUAUGCAACAAGUAGGUCCCAGUAAUAUACAAGAACGAGUUCAUUUGGCUAACUAUGAUGUUGAGGUCAACCCCAGUAAUAUACAACAACAAAUUCCAGGUAUUUAUUUAAAUUUCUUUAUUUGUAUUUGUUUCACACUUUAAAAAUUAGGUAAUUUUUAGAACACUAUUUUGUGCAUUGAAAUCUCAUUUUAUUCUUUUGUUCGUACUCUCAUAUUGAUCUCAAUGUUGUAGUUAUUUUUAUUGGUAGUCUUACAAAAUAUUAGACCACAACUAAAUAUAUUAAAUAUUAAACAUUAAAUUUUUACCUAAUCAUAUUAUAAUGUGGUGUAUUUAUUAGAACAAAUUGAGCAUGAAAGCGCGAGUUCAAGGGUUCUGUCAGAUAUCACAAAUCGUGAUGACCAAACUUUUGCUACAAUGCGUACUCAUAUAGGAUCAUUGACACAUUCGAAUAGGUCACAAAUAUAUGAUGGGAUGCUCUCAACUCUUCCCCAUAAUGGUGAGCUUAGUAUAUAAUUCUAUCUAUAUAUAGAAGAUAUAUUAUUAGUUACAAAGGAAAUUCUUAUACUGAGUGUUGGAUAUUCAUGUACAAAUAUCAGAAGAAGAACAUGCAACUAGAACCAAUCGUCAUGUGCGGCAAAGUAGAGGAAGAAGAAACCACAAUUGUGCUAGAAAUUAUAAUGAGAAUCGAGGUAUCCUAGGUUGCCGCUUACCUGCUCCAACCACAUGUCCGUACUGCUACGCACAAUUGUUUACUCGAGAAACUUUGAAUAUGUGUUGCUUAAAAGGAAGAGUUGCUUUACCCCCAAUACAAUCUCCACCAGAAAUGGUUGCUCUUUUCUCUGACCAAACAAAUGAGGGUAGACACUUCAGGCAAAAUAUUCGAGCUUACAAUCACGCAUUUGCAUUCACUUCAAUGGGAGUACACGUGGAUGAAAGAAUAAAUAUUAGUGGCCGUGAGAUUUACACAUUUCAUGCUCAAGGUGCAUUAUAUCAUAAGAUUGGUGGACUUUUACCACAUGAAGGAAACAGACCGCGAUUUUUACAAGCCUAUAUAUAUGACACUGAGCAUGAAGUUGAAAACCGAAUGUGUGAAAGUGAAGUUUUAGAUAGACGUGUGGUUGAAAAGAUACAACAGAUGUUGAACAACCAUAAUCCUUUUUUUCAUUCAUACAUUGCGAAGCCUCGGACAACGCCAAGAUUUGCCGAAUUGCAAGUUGAUCCUAAAAGAGCAACCAAUAGAUCGGCGUCAGUAUAGUCUACCAUCAGCAUCACAAGUUGCAGCAAUUAUAAUAGAUGGAGAUGAUGCCACCAUUGCAAAUGGAAGGGAUAUCGUGGUCGAGACAAUUAGUGGAAGACUUUCUCACGUCCGAGACUAUGUCGGAUUUUAUGAUCCGUUACAGUAUCCACUAUUGCUACCUUACGGUACAUAUGGUUGGGAUGUUAAUAGUCGUGAUGAUGGUGGAAGAGCAAUAACAUGUUGCGACUAUUAUGCUUAUAUGUUACAGGUUUUGUACCAAUAACAUAAUUUACUUCCCAAUAUAUAUAAAUGAAUGAUGAUUCCCAUAUUAAAAGCAAUAUAUGAAAUUUGCUUCUGCAGAUACGCCAUAAUGGAUCAUCACUUUUGCUUCGAGGUGGGCGUCUCUUGCAACAAUAUGCUGUAGAUAACUACAUUAAAAUUGAAUCACAAAAACUUCGAUGGCUGCGUUCUAAUCAAGCCACAGUUAGAGCAGAUCUCUAUAAAGGACUUCAAGACUAUUUAAAUGCAGGUCAACACAAUGCAGGUAUAUAUAUCAUUUCAGUUAUCGUUAUUUAAAAAUAUAACUUUGUUCAAAAUCUGUACAAUAUAUAUAGUUAGUUGAAAAUAAAAAAUUAACAGGUAGCAUUGGGCGUAGAAUUAUUUUACCAUCAUCAUUUGUUGGAAGCCCACGUGACAUGUACCAACGAUAUCAAGAUGCAAUGACUCUGGUUCAAAGAUUCGGAAAGCCAGAUCUUUUUAUUACCAUGACAUGUAACCCAAGUUGGGAAGAAAUCAAAAGUGAAUUACUCGCUGGACAAACUCCACAAGAUCGUCCUGACUUACUCACUAGAGUAUUUCGUGCAAAACUUGAGCAACUAAAAGAAGACAUCAUUGAAAAGGGGGUACUGGGCAGUGUUGUUGCGUACGCAUACGUUAUUGAGUUUCAGAAACGUGGUCUUCCACAUGUGCAUAUGCUGGUGGUGUUAGAUGAAAAUGAUAAGAUCAAUAACCCAGAUGAGUAUGACCGAAUUGUUAGAGCUGAAAUACCAAACAAAGACGUAGAGCCUCAACUUUACAAUGUAAUGUUAAAGCAUAUGAUUCAUGGCCCAUGCGGGAUUCAUAAUCCUCAAUCUCCAUGUAUGAAAAAUGGGAGCUGUAAGAGAAAGUAUCCCAAACCAUUUGCACCAGUCACUGUUCAAGGAAAUGAUUCGUAUCCAAUUUAUCAAAGGCGAGGAAAUCGAUUGCCCGUUUCUCUUGAUCGACAAGGAAACAUAAUGGUUGAUAAUAGUUGGGUCAUUCCAUAUAAUCCAUGGUUGCUGUUAAGGUAUGAUUGUCACAUCAAUGUUGAAAUUUGUGCAAGCAUAAAAAGUGUCAAGUACUUAUAUAAGUAUGUUUACAAAGGCCCAGAUAGAGUGACAGUCGAAGUGCAAUCAGACCUUGAAUACGAUGAAAUAAAGCAGUUUCAGGAUGCAAGAUGGGUUUGCGCACCAGAGGCAUUAUGGAAGAUAUUCAAGUUCAUUAUUAAUCGAAUUUACCCAUCUGUUGAGCGAUUGCAAAUACAUCUUCCUAAUAUGCACCAAGUUCAGUUUCGUGCCGACGAGAGCAUAAUAAAUAUUCUACAUGAUGAGAGUACAAGAAAGACAAUGUUAACUGAAUUUUUUACACUUAAUCAUGUGGAUGCAGAAGCGCGACGAUACUUAUACAUGGAAAUCCCAUCACAUUACAGAUGGAUUCAAGCUCAAAGAAAGUGGUCUAAAAGAAUGAAUCGUAACAAGGUUAUUGGGCGAAUAUAUGCAGUUUCACCUGCUGAAGGUGAAAAAUUUUACCUUCGAAUUCUUCUUAAUCAUGUUAGAGGACCAACAUCCUUCACAAACUUGAGAACGAUUAAUGGGGUUUUGCAUCCAACAUUUAAACAGGCAGCAGAACAACGAGGUUUAUUAGAAAGAGAUGACAGUAUUCGACAAUGUUUGCUAGAGGCCUCCACAAUUCAAAUGUCAUCGGCUUUACGAAGAUUAUUCGUCACCAUAUUGGUAUAUUGUGCACCAAUUGGUGUUCGAGGGUUAUGGGAUGAGUUCUAUCCAUUCAUGAUAGAAGAUUAUGUUACCAUGACUAACAUGACUCCCACACUUGCUACCAACAGACUCUUGCGUGAGUUGAACAUACUUUUGGUUCAAUUUAAUAAGAGUAUAAACGAGUUUGAUUUCCCCCAAAUGACAAGAGGAAAUGAAUCAAGUUCAGGAAUGACAAGAUGUAUUGAAGAUGAGAUAUCCAUAGGUAUUCCACAACAAGAUCUUGAUGCAAUUGAACGCUUAAAUGAUGACCAAAGAAAUGCGUUUAACAUAAUAAUGGGUGCAGUUCAACGAUCAGAGAAUGCAACUUUUUUUGUGGAUGGUCCCGGUGGAACUGGAAAAACUUACUUAUAUCGCGCAUUGUUAGUAAGCUUGAGAAGGUUGGGCCACAUAGUAUUAGCAACAGCAUCAUCUGGAAUAGCAGCUACGAUAUUUCCUGGUGGGAGGACAGCACAUUCUAAAUUCAAGAUACCACUUAGUCUCGAUGCAUCAUCGAUGUGUUCGAUUGGUAAGCAAUCCGAUUUAGCAAAGCUAAUACAAAAGGCAAAGGCAAUUAUCUGGGAUGAAGCAACAAUGACGCAUCGUCAUGCAUUUGAAGCACUCGAUCGAACAUUCAGAGACCUAACGGAUAUUGACUUACCAUUUGGGGGAAAAAUAAUGAUAUUUGGGGGAGAUUUUUGACAAGUUCUUCCUGUUAUCCGGAAAGGAACCAAGUCCGAACUAAUCCAAGCAAGUGUUGUUAAGGCAUCAUUUUGGUCAGAGGUAAACAUUUUAAAACUCAAACAAAACAUGAGAUCCAUAAAUGAUCGUGAAUUUUCAGAAUUUUUACUUCGUGUUGGUGAUGGGAAUGAAGAUGUUAUUAUGGAUGAUAUGGUAAAACUACCUGAAUGCAUGGUGAUACCAUGGGAGAGUGAGCAUUCCAUUAAUCAAUUAAUUGCCAAAAUCUUCCCUAACUUAGAGGAUCAUAUGAAUGAUGCAACCUACAUGGUGGAAAGGGCAGUGGUAACUCCUACAAAUGAAGACGUUGAUAUGUUAAAUGAAAAGAUAAUCAAUAUGUUUCCAGGUUUAGAAGAGACAAUGUAUUCAUUUGAUUCAGUUGAGGAUGAUGAAAGGAAUUUGUAUCAGCCAGAGUUCUUGAAUUCAAUCUCACUUGGUGGUUUGCCUCUGCACAAGUUAACUCUAAAAAGAGGUGCUCCAAUCAUGCUUUUAAGGAAUAUUGAUCCAAAAUUGGGAUUGUGUAAUGGUACAAGAUUAUUGUGUCGUGGUUCUUACCGAAAUCUUAUUGAUGCUGAAAUUCUAACUGGACAAUUUGCCGGAUCCAGAGUUUUUUUACCAAGAAUCCCUCUUAAAAGUACUGAUACUGCUGGGCUUCCAUUUGAACUUACAAGAAAGCAGUUUCCAGUGAAACUAAGUUUCUCUAUCACUAUAAACAAAUCUCAAGGUCAGACAAUACCACAUGUAGGCGUUUACCUUCCAGAUCACGUCUUCAGUCAUGGACAAUUAUAUGUGGCUUUAUCGAGGGGGGUCUCAAAGUCAACCACAACUGUGUUAGUAAAAAAUGGCUUCAUAGUCGGCCAACAAGGUGUAUUUACACGGAAUGUAGUAUACAAAGAAGUCUUGCUUCAUUCCAGCUAAUUAUGGUGAUUCCUAAUAGGUAACAACUUUAUUAACGAUAAUCUUUCAAUAUGCAUUUCUCACUUAUCUUUUAACUCUUUUUAUUUGAUUUUUAAUUUUCUCACUAUUGUUUGUAGAUUGGCAAUGAAAAUUUGAAGUGUCAAUCAGGAACAAAUGGAUGGAAAUUGCAGCAUUGAUGUCAAUUUUCUUUUCAAAAGAAACAAUGACAUAUAGACUUUAUGGGUAUUGUGAAAAAUGUACAUAUUGUGAUGUCGGUUUUAUAUUUUGACAUUUAAGUUGUUUUGUAUUUUGCUACGAGUACUUAAUGUUUUCAUCUACUUUUUUUUUAUUCACAUCUACUUACUAUUGUUUAUGAACACAAGGUAGGAACUUGCUUCCAGAUGAUGUUGUUUGACAAUUGCAUGAAUAACAUUUAAAUCAUUACUGUAGGCAAAGUGAAAACAAAAAAUAUGACAAUUUUUUAAGACGUGCAUGAUAAAGAUAAAGUUCCUCUUUGCUCAAUACAUCUAAAAUAUAUCUUGACAAUCACAAUGAAAAAGACUAACACAAUACACCUUUAGGGGCGCGUAGCGCCCGUGAUGCAAAAAUGCCUCUCGCACGCACGUUAGUGCGUGCGGAGAGGCUAGUUUAGUAUAUUAAAUAAUAGUAUGUAUUCCUGUCGGUUAUAACCGACAGGAAUAACAAAACAUUAAAAAAAAAAAUAGCCAGCUCGAGGCUGGCUGGCUGGCCAAAGCAGCCAGCCCUCCAGCCCUCUCUGAUCCCGUGGGGCCCUCCCAGAUUCCAGAGCCCUCUGGCCAAGCCCUCGGUUGGAGACGGUUUUAGGGCUAUUUUCGGCCCUCUGACUCUUUGGACCCUUCGGUUAGAGAUGGCCUAACAAGUUCGACUUUGGCUGAGUGAAAGCAAGGAGGAAAGUACACACAUCAUUAAUGAUAGGUCCCAACAAUGAACAAUCUUCCUCACACCGCUGCACAGCAGCAAGCGUGAUGCUCGAAUCUCCUUCGAAAAUAACAUCGACUUCACUUGGGUAGAGUUCCUGGACAAAAACUACUGCCUUCCUUGCCGCUAGAAGCUCAGCUUGCAGCGGCGAUGCAACGUUUUCAAGCGGUUCAGAGACUCCAGCCGCAAAAGAGUUCCCUAACUACCCAGGACAGUCUCUGACAUUUUAGGGGUCCUGUGCAAAAUUUAUAAAAUGACCAUUCCUUAAAAUAUUUUUAAAAAGUAGAACAAUAUAUUGAUGCUAAAAAACAAUCAGUUAAAUCAAAACAAACUUUACCACUCACUUAUUGCAAGUUUAUAAAUAUCAUUAAUUAUAAGUAAAAAAGAGUUACGAACAUAACAUUCACUAAAUAAGCAAAAGAAGUUCAAUCUUAAACAACCAAACAUGAAAAAAAACUUCAAAACUCUAAUUUUAAAGUUUCACUUGAAUAUAACAUAUUAUUAUAUAAUAAAAUUGAAAAAAAAAUAUCGUUUUUAGAGUGUUAUUAUUAACACUAAAAAUAUCUCAUUAUACUCCAAAUUUUUAUAUUUAGAAGGGAAAAAAAUUACUCUUAUAAAGAGUGCACAAUGAGAUUUUAAAGUGCUGACAAAAAUAAUAUUUUAAAUAUAGAACAUUAUUACAUAAUAUUAUAUGGUAAAAAUUUUGGGGGCCCUUCAAAUUUGUGGCAUGUGCUACUGCACCUCCUCCUUUCCUCGACCGCUCCUCCCAUGCCCCGUCAAAGUUACACUUGAUCCAGCCCCCAAAAAAAUUAAAUUGCGUGUGUUCCCCCAAAUCCUUAUUUUAAAGGCCAACUCUUCAAUACCAUCCCUUUGAAGCUACUAUUGAUAAGCCUACCUUGUGCACUAUAUCAUGCAUUUUUACGCAUCCUUCCUUGUCACUCUCUAACAACAAAAAACUACUCUUGAGUAUCUCAAUCAAUGUUUCUACACACUUUCCUGCUUCCCUCUUGGAAUCGAUGUCUUUAAACAGCUGAAGUCCAACCCCAAAUUUCACUAAAUCAUGAACCAGUAUAUCACUGCUUUCCGGAUAUAUGCAGCAGAACAGAAACAAUGAUUUCGCUUCCUCGCUCCCUAAACAUUCGUAGCUCAACUCUAUUUUCCGAUACGCUUCUUGUACCAUCCCUGGAAUAUUUUCGGGGCAAGGCUUUCUUAGUUGUCUCAGUGCAUCCUCCCACGUUUGCUUGCUUUUAUGCUGCAGUGCCCUUCCAACAGUUGCAAUUGCAAUUGGUAAACCGGCACAUUCACUCAGAACCUGUUGUGCUACCGGACGUAGCUCAGGAGAUUCAAUGGAAUUGCCUGCCAUCUCUCUAAGCAAACUCCAAGCUUCUUGCUCUGGCAAAAUACCAAUAGGCAAACUCUUCUUGUUGCCGGACAGAUGGAAACUACUUUGAGCUCUCAUGCUAACACUAAAUUCAUUCAGGAGUCCCAACAUAAAGAUUAUCUUACACUUUCCGUUGGGUGACCCAUAAGGGAUUCCGAUGGCCUCAAGAUCAAUCAUUUCCCGGACAUCAAGAAAUACUACAAGCAACCUCCUAGAGUCUUUGGACAUUCGAGCACGCAGCACCUUUGCCCGUUCAAACAAAUUCCCAUUUCCCAACUUCACUUGUAGAUUAUCUGCAAUCUCAUCUUGUAUUCGUCUCAAGUUGGGAUCAAGGGAUACAACAGUCAUGACAACUUCUUCAAAUAGACCUUGCUGCUUGACUCUCUCCAUGAACUCUUUCGUCGUUACUGUAUCUCCUGUUUUGAUUUCCCCACAAUUAAUGCUAAUCAAGUUGAUAUUUUCAACCUGCAGAGCCCCCAAGAUCUCCCUUGUACAUGGUAGUUUGUAUUCCAAGCGCUCCGAAAGCUUCAUGGGUGGGGGUUCAGUAAAGUUGGAUCUUCUCGAGGAGCUAGCCCCGUCACGAGCCAUAACAGAUUUGAUCAUAGAAUGACAGAAACAAUGAAUGAAAAUAAGCAGCUAAUAAAGAACAAGAGGAAUCGGAAACUGUGAAUAGAGAAAUGCAUGGUCUUGAAGCAGACUUUACUCACAAAAAUCAACUUAGCUUGUCAGCAAAAGGAAUAGGAAACUGUGAAUGGUCAAGUCUAAACAAACAUUAAUUUGAAAAGUAAUUAGCCGCAGCAAACAUUUUAGAAGCAGUCAAAAAUAGCAGCAAAAAUAAAAAAAAUUAAAAAAAAAUAUUCCAAACCCAAAGGAAAGAAUUAACUAGUAAUUAGGCUAGAAUCUCGUCUAGGGUUUGAAAUGACCUGGAGGCCAAAAAAUAAGAUGACAGAAAAAUUUGACUUAACUAAUAUAUGCGUCAUUUUUUUUGUAUUAUGAAAAUGCCCUUCAUAUGUCCCGUACUUUUCACGCCAGCCAUUAACGUUUAACAAAACGAUAGGUAUAAAUUGAAACAAUUUUAAAACCUUAAGGUUGAAGAGACGACUGACCAAACCAAAGAUAUAAAUUGAUGCAAUUCUGAAAUCUCGAUGUAAAAUAAUAAAAUUAAAAUCAUGCGACCUAUUUGAAAACCAUUAUAAAAUCAAAAGGUGCAAAAUGCCGUUAGCACAAACCUUAUCAUCUUAAUAUUUAUUUUUCUAUAGCUAGUGGUUUGUAGCUUAAUAUCCUAGAAAAUUGUCGGCUAUAUAUGUAUGGAUUUCCCAAAAUACAUAUACCAAAAGAACUUAUAAGAAUUAUAAGGUAAAAAAACUCUAAAUGUGUGACCAGAUGUACCAAAUCUCAUAAGUUCGAUAGCUUCAGAAAUCCAUAUUUGCAUGUGUGAUCAUAUCCCUUCUAAGGAUGGUAAACCUCCUUAGAAGGCAAAACUCAACAUAUAACUUCGAAGUUGUUUACUGGACAAUGGAAACGCAAAAUACUUAUGAAGAUUAAGUUUCUUUCCGACUGUCGUUCAGCUCCUUCUGAAGAUUUUCACUUGCCCCGCUGAUACUUAACUUCACUUCCCUUGGUGUGCUAAGGGAACCUAAACAUAAAUUCUCCAUUCGAGGGCAUUCUUCAACGGUUAACUCUUCCAGUGAUGGCCAAUCUAAAUUACAUUUGCCUUGAGAAAAAAUUAUGAGAUUUGGUAGAGCGCGAAGUUCCAAAUAACUUAGCUGAGGGAGCAAGCUGUUAUCCUCUGAUUCUUCAUCCGCUAGCGGUUUUGCAACUACCACUUCCAUCUUCUUGCACUCAAUUAUGGAUAGACCUUUGAGCUUCACCAUACCCCUAGCAAUGGAAGGAGAGAGUAGAAGCUCCAAACUGACACAAUCCGAAAUGUGUAAUGAUGUUAACUGAAAGCCUUGAAUUCGAUUGGAACCCCUGAUUUGCGUCAUUUGAGGUUGGGAAAUUGAAGAUAUUUCGCCCGACUGAGGAAGUGUUGCAGUGGGUUCUUCAUUGGCAUUUGACCCUGUGGACUCAAAAAUCUCUUCCAGGGAAUUGCAACCCUUCACAAUUAACUUGUCUAGUUUAUGCAAUCUAUUCUGCACCUCAACUGCUACCAGAAGAACUAAGUUGCUACAACCGGACACAUGCAGGUCUCGGAGUUCAUUGAAAGAGUAGGGUAGAAGCUCCCUGCUCCAUAACUCUCUGAUAUUUUGCAUAUCACGAAUUUCUAGCGUCUCCAGAACUGGAAAACCAACCUGAAAAUGCAUUGAACUUUGUUAGUACCAACAAUGAUGAAAAGUUAAAACUUGCCAGCAUAGAUUUAGAGUGAUGUGCAAACCUCUUCAUUAAAAAUAUGGUUUGGAACACCAUAAAUUGAUCCCAUGGCUUCAGAUGAUGGAACAAACGUCUCCAUGGUAAGGCAGCCAAUCACCAAAGUUGUCAAUGAUGGCCAGUGAAUAGCGCAUGGAGCACGGCAAAAUGUUCUGAGGGAGGGUAAAUUAUCAAGAUGGAGAGAUUUUACUUGAGGGAAAACAAUUAUCUUUGUUGCCUCUUCAUCUCCAUGGCCUCGUUCAUUUUCGGCAAGAAUGUCUCGCAUCGCAGCACAAUCACUUAUAUACAUAGAUUCUAGUUUCACGAGAUUUUCAGCAACGAACCGUGGGAACACAUAUCUCAAAUUUCCACACUGCAUAACUUGGAGCAUUCUUAAAUUUUGAAACGCCAUGAUGUUUUGAGGUGGAUUCCACAAGUAUUUCAACAAGGGUAGCUUACUCAACUCCAUUAUUUCCAAGUCAGAGAACAGUGCAGGAAAUUGCUUUGGAUUCUGUUUCAUUUCUAGAUCUUCAAAGUCGAAAACUGUUUCCAGUGACCUACAUUCCCUUACUUCAAGUUGUUCCAGACUUUGUAAGUCCUGCACCCAACUGAACGAGAAAAUACCAGUUAGCUUAGCACAUUCCUUCACCGUCACAAAUCGCAGCUGCCAAAAGGGACUAACCUGUUGAAUUAAAGAGAUUGUCAGCUGAGCUAUCCUGAUUUUUUUACAAGUUUUGACACAGAGUUUAGCAGCUGGGGUAACAUAUUACAAUCUUAAGGAAAGGGAAAAUACCUUGGUGUCAAAUAAAUGUUGUUUUGUGGCAUAAGCAAUGCUACUUUCUGGAGCCAAACUAUCUGGGGAAAGACUCAUGAUUUUUGGUAGGUAUUCCAACUUCAACGUGAUCAAUCCAGGAAAGUUGAUCUGACAUGUUGUUUUGCUGAUCCCAACGAACCCUGGUAGUCUUUCAAGAUUCAAGCGUAGCAAAUUGGGGUGAUUGAUCUCGUUGACUUCUUCCUCAUUUUCCGAUCCUUCAGAGGCAACAAUCUGUUUUGAGGUCUGAUCUUUUAAGGCAACAAUCUCUUCCAAAUAGUUGCAAUUCUGUAUGUCUAGCUCUUCGAGUUGCUUCAGAUGGCUAUCUACUGAUAAUAAGAAGAGAUAUUUUAGAAGGUAACAUCUACUCACCUUAACACAUCUCAGAUUUCCUAGACACUGACCAAAUUGACUUGGUAUCUUCCAUAAAUGUGUUAAUUUAGGUAGAGAUGAUAAAGAUAACUCUCUAAGUCCGUUAAAUGACCCCAUUGGAAGCUCGCCAUGAAAAACCGCCUUGAGCUCCUUUAGUUCAUUGAUCUUCAGAGUAUGCAGGACAGGGAAAACGCUUACGUAUCCUAUGUCAAAGACAUGUUGCAGAUCUUCAGAUUGGCAGAGCUUUAGAGAUUUCAAGUUUAAACAACAGCUUCUUCUCAGGUCAUUAAGAGUUCUGCUCAUAUACUUCAUGUCUAACUCUAGAACGUUAGUUUUCUCUAGCAAUAUAGUUAUUCUACUCUCCGCAGGAGAUUCUGCUGCAUAGCUAAGUCUCAAGUAGUUCUCACAGGGAUUCACAUCCCAACAACUAUUGUUCCACCAUCCUAUUGAGAUCUUAAAUCUUUCAAGCUGAUCAAACUGCACCCCUGUUGACUUUACAAGUGGAUUCAGAGCAAUUUCUAAAGUAGUCAAUUGGGACAAGGAACUUAGCUCUGGAGCAAAAUGACAAGUGAUGCCCCUGAUUUUUGAACCUUGAUUUCGAUCCUUAUGUCUGUUCCCUUCAUCUAGUUGUGCUUGGGUUUGUUCCUCAACCUCCCAUUGCUGGAAGCUAUUCCACAGGUACAGUUCUUCUAGAUGAGCUAAACUCGAUAUGACACCCAUUGGAAUUUUCAUAACUCUGCAUCCUGUCAAAUCUAGCAACCUUAGAUUUGACAAGUUUUUAAUUUCAUCAGGAAAUUGAUCGAAGUUGGAUCCACAAAAGCUGAGUACCAUGAGUGUCCUUAGCUCUCCAAUUACGGAUCUAGCUUCCACACUGAGAUUGCAAUUCUCUAGACGCAGCGUUUGAAGGUUUCUCAACAGUGGAAUCGAUGGUAGUAUUGGCAGUGGAAAUCUGCUUCUGAUGGCUAAAACCUUGAUGCCUUCACUUGUUCUCAGAAUAGUGGCAGGUGGUUCCAAUGGACAUUUAUCAGUGCAUGAAACUAAUAAAAGCUCGUUAUGCAUACGAGUUUUAUUGGUUAUAAUGAGUGUACUAGAAGAGUAUUUGCCAGGCCAAUCCUUCAAUUCCACCUUGUGUCUGGUCACAAAUCCUUCUUUACCAUCAGUAGCUAUUGAUAAGGCUACAUCCCGCACCACAUCAUGCAUUUUGACACACCCUUCCUUGUUACUGUCUAACAACAAAAAACAACUUUUGAGUAUGUCAACCAACGUUUCUACACGGUUUCUUCCUUGUACCAGUGAAUCAAUACCUUUAAACAACCCAAGCCCGAAACCAUAUCUAACCAAAUCUUCAACCGGUAUAUUGCUGCAUUCUGGAUACAGACAACACAGGAAAAAACAUGAUUUGGCUUCCUCGCUUUCUAGACAUUCAUAACUUAGCUCUAUUUUCCGGUAAACUUCAUGUAUCAUUCCCGGAAUGUUUUCUGGGCAAGCGUUUCUUAGUUGUGUGAGUGCAUCAUCCCACAUCUUCUUGCUUUUAUGUCUUAGCGCUCUUCCCACCGUCGAAAUUGCAAUUGGCAAACCAGCACAUUCUCUUAAAACCUGUUGCGCUACAGGACGUAGCUCAGGAGACUCAAUGGAUCUGCCUGCCAUGUCCUUAAACAAAGUCCAUGCAUCUUGUUCUGGCAACACACUGAUCGGAAAAUUCCUUUUGGUUUCUAUGUCAUUGAAUAACUCCGCCUAUGUCUUACAUGGCCGGUCCCAAGCCCGGAUAAAGGAGGAGGGGGAGGGCGUCAGGUAGUCGACAGCCGGCACUCCAUGAUCACGUCGAAUCCUUAUGAAAAUGAAUCCAGAACAAAAUCGCGCUAAAGCUAGGGCGUCACCCGUAAGUGGCGCGCUGUGUGGCCUGAGCACAGUGAUAAGUGAGCAAGGGUCGCUGUAUCUCCAUCGGCACCCGGAUGCAGUGUUAAAUGAGCAAGGGGGCCAUAGAAACUUCUUUUCGAACGACUCCACUCAAAGUUGUUUGGGAGCAUAUGCUCCUAUCAACUUUACCCGGGACACACAAAAGAAGUACUUUGAUCCUAUUAGACGGGGGAGGGUGAAGAAGCUAGGACAGAAGGGUAGAGUUCAAGAGAGCAAAAUGCGUUUAGGAACGUGGAAUAUAGGAACCUUAACGGGAAAAUCUAUGGAAGUAGUGGAAGUUAUGGUGAGGAGAAGGAUAAAUAUUAUGUGCCUACAAGAAACUAAGUGGGUUGGUAGUAAGGCAAAGGAUCUAGAAAGCUCAGGGUUUAAACUUUGGUAUUCGGGCACAAAUAGAACGAGAAACGGUGUUGGCAUCAUCGUGGACAAGACCUUGGUACAAGAUGUUGUAGAUGUCAAGAGGGUAGGAGAUAGAAUCAUGGCAAUCAAGAUUGUAAUAGGACAAGAACUUAUCAAUGUGAUUAGUGCGUACGCACCUCAAGUAGGGUUGGAUACGAGUUCGAAUGGAGAAAUUUUGGGAAGAUCUUGGAGACUUGGUGCAAGGAAUUGCUCAGACGGAGAAGUUAUUUAUAGGAGGAGAUUUAAAUGGACACGUGGGCAGGGAGACAGGCAACUAUGGAGGUUUUCAUGGUGGCCAUGGUUUUGGGGAGAGAAACGAGGAUGGGGAAGCUAUCUUGGAUUUUGCAAUGGCAUAUGAUCUCUUCUUAGCCAACACCUUCUUUAAGAAGAGAGAAGAACAUGUGAUCACCUACAAGAGUGGGUCGUCAAAAACACAAAUAGAUUUUCUUCUAAUGAGGAAAGGGGAUCGUAUAACUUGUAAGGAUUGCAAAGUUAUAUACCAGGAGAGAGCGUGGCUAAUCAACAUCGCUUGUUGGUGAUGGAUGUACAUAUCAAAAGAGUAAGACAAAAGAACAAGACUUGGAAGUGCCCAAGGACUAGAUGGUGGAAUCUAAAAGAAGAAAAACAAGCCAUUUUCAAAGAGAAGGUAAUCACCCAAUGUGUGUGGGAUAGAGAGGGGGAAGCUAGCCAAAUGUGGGAUUCCAUGGCUAGUUGUAUCAGAAAAGUAGCAAAAGAGGUAUUAGGAGAGUCCAAGGGCUUUGCCCCACACCAAAAGGAAUCUUGGUGGUGGAAUGAGGAGGUACAAACAAAGGUGAAGGCUAAGAAGGAAUGUUGUAAAGCCUUAUACAAGGAGAGGACUGAUGAAAAUGGUGAAAGGUAUAGAAAAGCGAAGCAAGAGGCGAAGAAAGCUGUCAGAGAAGCUAAGUUAGCGGCUUACGACGAUAUGUAUAAACGACUAGAUACCAAAGAAGGAGAGUUGGAUAUCUAUAAACUAUCUAGAGCAAGGGAAAAGAAGACAAGGGACCUAAACCAAGUGAGGUGCAUCAAGGAUGAGGAUGGAAAGGUUCUUGCUACAGAGAACGCGGUUAAAGACAGAUGGAGAGGUUAUUUUCAUAAUCUUUUCAAUGAAGGACAUGAAAUGAGUGCUUCUUUAGGGGAGUUGAGUAACUCAGAAGAGUGUAGAAACUACUCUUUUUAUCGUCGAAUCCGGAAGGAAGAAGUGGUUGUAGCUUUGAAGAAGAUGAAGCAUAAAAAAGCAAUAGGCCCAGACGAUAUACCAAUCGAAGUGUGGAAACUUUUGGGAGAGACAGGUAUAACAUGGCUCACUGACCUUUUCAAUAGGAUUUUUGAAAACGAAGAAGAUGCCAAAUGAGUGGCGAAUGAGCACUUUGGUGCCUAUCUACAAGAAUAAGGGCGACGUACAAAAUUGCAUGAACUAUAGGGGUAUUAAGCUAAUGAGUCAUACAAUGAAGCUCUGGGAGAGAGUCAUUGAGCAUAGAUUGAGGCAAGAGACACGGGUUUCGGACAACCAAUUCGGGUUCAUGCCAGGGCGCUCAACCAUGGAGGCAAUCUAUCUCUUACGAAGAUUGAUGGAAAGAUAUAGAGAUGGGAAAAAGGAUUUACACAUGGUCUUUAUAGAUUUGGAAAAAGCGUAUGAUAGGGUCCCAAGAGACAUUCUUUGGAGGAUUUUAGAGAAGAAAGGAGUACGAGUAGCAUAUAUCCAAGCUAUAAAGGAUAUGUAUGAAGGAGCAAAGACUGCCGUAAGAAGAACUCAUGAAGGACAAACCGAAAGCUUUCCCAUAACUGUAGGAUUACAUCAAGGCUCAUCCUUAAGUCCUUACCUUUUUGCGUUGGUAAUGGAUGAGUUAACACGGACAUAUUCAAGAUGAUAUUCCUUGGUGUAUGCUUUUCGCAGACGAUAUAGUGUUGAUAGAUGAAACUCAGGAAGGGGUAAAUGCAAAGCUUAACCUUUGGAGAGAAGUGUUGGAAUCUAAAGGUCUUCGCCUAAGCCGAUCAAAGACAGAAUAUAUGGAGUGCAAGUUCAGUGCAAAUGGAGGCCAAAACGAGUUAGGGGUGAGGAUCGGAGAUCAAGAAAUACCAAAGAGCGACCGUUUUCGUUACCUAGGAUCUAUCUUGCAAAAGAACGGAGAAUUAGAUGGAGAUCUCAACCAUAGAAUACAAGCUGGAUGGAUGAAGUGGAAGAGUGCAUCCGGCGUGUUGUGUGACCGCCGUAUGCCACUGAAGCUCAAGGGAAAAUUUUAUAGGACGGCAAUAAGGCCGGCGAUGCUGUAUGGCACAGAAUGUUGGGCGGUGAAACAUCAACACGUACACAAAAUGGGUGUAGCGGAGAUGAGGAUGCUUCGUUGGAUGUGUGGGCACACGAGAAAGGAUAAGAUUAGGAAUGAGGAUAUCCGGGGUAAAGUAGGAGUAGCCGAAAUUGAAGGAAAGAUGAGAGAAAAUCGGUUACGGUGGUUUGGACAUGUGCAAAGAAGGCCUACUGACGCUCCGAUUAGAAGAUGCGACUAUGGGACAGAGGUUCAGGGCCGAAGGGGUAGAGGAAGACCUAGGAAAACUUUGGAAGAGACUCUAAGAAAAGACUUAGAGUACUUGGAUCUAACGAAGGACAUGACACAGGAUCGAGCACAAUGGCGUUCUAAGAUUCAUAUAGCCGAUCCCACUCAGUGACUUGGAUUUUCCAAGUCUCCAACCGAGAAGUUUUCCUCACUCGGGAAAUUAAGGGAACACUACCCCAACCUACAUGCUCCACUCAGAAAGCUUCAACAUACAAGCUUCAACAAAAGAAAAUUCAAAGAACUUAGCGAAGAAGGCUUUGGUGUAUUUAACACAAUACGUUGAAAUGAAGGAAAGCUUAUUUAUUGAUUGAUAUCCCCGAUAAGCUACAAAUAUGUACAUAUACAUGAGUCAAAAUAAACACACAAGAGGGAGCCUUCACAAAGGUUGCUUAGGAGAAGUCUCAGCAGUCGGUAGAGCCCCAGAAAGAGAAGGCACCGGAGGGGGAUCAUUUGGAGCCUCAGUACUGGACAGAACCCUAGAAGGAGGAGGCAUCAGAGGUUGAUCAUUUGGAGCUUCAUUACGCGGUACAGCCCCAGAAGACGAAGGCAAUAAAUGCCUUUGGAACAAACCCACAAAUCUCUGAUGAUCAAGUAAAACCUGACCAUCAGUUUCCUUCAUCUGGUCAAGCUUCCUCUUCAUGUUUGUAGCAUAGUCAUGUGCGAGCCGGUGCAACUGUUUAUUCUCAUGCUUGAGCCCUCUAAUCUCCUGUUUGAGACUCAUCACUUCAGCCGCCAAUGAUUCAACUUGGCGGGUUCGAGCAAAUAGGCGUUGGGCCAUAUUAGACACAGAACCUGCACACUGAACACUGAGAGCCAGCGAAUCCUUAACAGCUAACUCAUCAGACCGUUUGGAAAGUAGUCUGUUAUCUUUGGGAGUGAGAAGGUUCCUGGCCACCACCGCAGCGGUCAUAUCAUUCUUCAUCACGGAAUCCCCAACGGUAAGAGGACCAGUAGGGGAGACGAAGGAUGGGCGCCAUAUGUUGUCUGGAGAAGGCGGGGCUGCCUCUUCAACAAGGUUCAAGUCAAAACGACGGUCGGAGGGGCCAGACAUUUUCAAAGGUGUUGAAGAGAGAAGAGGUCGGACAAAUCAAGAUCUUAGAAGUGCAAGAAUGAAGCUUCUACUGGUGGAGAUUCAAGUGUGCUGCUUUGGAACUUAAUGCCAGCCCCUAUAAAAAUCUGCACUCGACGAAGCUUCAGAAAUCGAAGAGGCGCCUGCUCAGAAAUCGAAGAGGCGUUUGCUUUCUCAAAAGCUGGGCUGCUUAGAGAUCACGAGGGUUGAUCUCAGAAAUCGAAGAGGCGUUUGCUUUCUCAAAAGUUGGGCUGCUCAAAGACCACGAAGGCCGAUCUCAGAAAAUCGAAGAGGCGCUCGCUUUCUCAAAAGCUGGGCUCCCCAGAGACCACGAGGGCCGAUCUCAGAAAUCGAAGAGGCACCUACUUUUCCAGCCUUUUCCAGCCUUGUCAGCACCUGUCACACGCACACUCAGCUUUGCGGAAAUUAUGGGCAUUCUGUCAAAGACUUCUGGGGAAGUAGAAAACACAUGAAUCUUACUGUUCAAUCACCCACUUCCCACACGCAACAAUAGCUCAUGGGUACCACAGAUAACUUUGCCAAAGUUCUCUGCCAAAGUUGAGCACGUGAAGCUUGCAGCUCCCACUACAUCGCUCUGACCAAGAAGGGUAAAAGAAUAGCAAAGAAACAGCACUAACAAACAAAGUUUAGACCCAUAAAUUUUGAAGGUCUAGCUACCAUAUUAUUACCCACAAGGGUAAAGGAACAGUACCACUGCUGGAUAAUUGGAAAGUCCCUGUGUGUCAACCUCUGUGCUUCGUGGCAAGGUAGACUAGCAAACAUGCCCAACCUUUACUCACAUUCGAGAAAACACUCCCAAUAAGAUUGCUUGCUCCAAAAUCGAAGAGGCACCGUCCUCCGAAUCUCGAGAGCCAGACUCCCAACAUGACUACUUUCUUAAAAAUCGAAGAGAGGGUAAAGGAACAGUACCAUUGCUGGAUAAUUGGAAAGUCCCUGUGUGUCAACCUCUGUGCUUCGUGGCAAGGUAGACUAGCAAACAUGCCCAACCUUUACUCACAUUCGAGAAAACACUCCCAACAAGAUUGCUUGCUCCAAAAUCGAAGAGGCACCGCCCUCCGAAUCUCGAGAGCCAGACUCCCAACAUGAUUACUUUCUCAAAAAUCGAAGAGACACUGCUCCCCGAAUCUCGAGAGCCAGACCCCCAGCAUGAUUGCUUUCUCAAAAAUCGAUGAGGCAUCGUUCUCCGAAUCAAUCGAAGAGGCGCUCGCUUUCUCAAAAGCUGGGCUGCUCAGAGACCACGAGGGCCGAUCUCAGAAAUCGAAGAGGCACCUACUUUUCUAGCCUUGUCAGCACCUGUCACACGCACACUCAGCUUUGCAGAAAUUAUGGGCAUUCUGUCGAAGACUUCUGGUGAAGUAGAAAGCACAUGAAUCUUACUGUUCAAUCACCCACUUCCCACACGCAACAAUAGCUCAUGGGUACCACAGAUAACUUUGCCAAAGUUCUCUGCCAAAGUUGAGCACGUGAAGCUUGCAGCUCCCACUACAUCGCUCUGACCAAGAAAGGUAAAAGAAUAGCAAAGAAACAGCACUAACAAAAGUUUAGACACAUAAAUUUUGAAGGUCUAGCUACCAUAUUAUUACCCACAACUGGGUAAAGGAACAGUACCACUGCUGGAUAAUUGGAAAGUCCCUGUGUGUCAACCUCUGUGCUUCGUGGCAAGGUAGACUAGCAAACAUGCCCAACCUUUACUCACAUUCGAGAAAACACUCCCAACAAGAUUGCUUGCUCUCCAAAAUCGAAGAGGCACCGUCCUCCGAAUCUCGAGAGCCAGACUCCCAACAUGACUACUUUCUCAAAAUCGAAGAGAGGGUAAAGGAACAGUACCAUUGCUGGAUAAUUGGAAAGUCCCUGUGUGUCAACCUUUGUGCUUCGUGGCAAGGUAGACUAGCAAACAUGCCCAACCUUUACUCACAUUCGAGACAACACUCCCAACAAGAUUGCUUGCUCCAAAAUCGAAGAGGCACCGCCCUCCGAAUCUCGAGAGCCAGACUCCCAACAUGAUUACUUCCUCAAAAAUCGAAGAGACACUGCUCUCCGAAUCUCGAGAGUCCAGACCCCCAGCAUGAUUGCUUUCUCAAAAAUCGAAGAGGCAUCGUUCUCCGAAUCUCGAGAGCCAGAUACCACAGACCACUUUUUCAAAGUGCUCUGACAGAGUUAAAAACAUGUGAAACUGGCAGCUCCCACUACCGUGCUAUGACCAAGCAGGGUAAAGGAAUAGCAUUACUACUUGUUGUUAGGGAGACUCCUAUAUAUAUGUCGACCUCCAUCCCCAACGGACGGACAGGCAGACCUGCAAAAAUGCUCAACCCUUCAUCAUAUCUGAGAGGGCACUCCCAACGAAGCCUUUCGAAAUAUUCAGCUUUCUUUCCCCCCGAUAAUACCUCUGCAAACAAGCUAUAUACUAGAGCAAGAAUAUCUCAUAUCAUCAGGGUUAAAAGCAAGAGUAUCCCAUAUCAUGCUUUUUCCCUGUCUUUUCUUUUGGCCUUGUUUUUACCUGCAAGACAAGGAGAAAGAGAGCAAUCAGUCAGCACUUGGAAUCAAGCUUCCAGCCAGGAACUGACUGCCUGGAACCCCUUACCUGAUUACUUACCUGGCAUUGCUCUCGAGUACUCAUCUCUUCAACAUCUUAUGUUUCCAGGGAAGAUUCCGCAUCUGCUUGAGGAACAGAUAGGGCAAGUGCGAAGGAUACAAGGAAGCAUGUGGAGACAAGCGUAACAGCACACGUGCCGAUACAUUCCAUUACUCUGUCAAAAGCAAAAGUAUCCCAUAUCAGCAGGGUGGAACGUACUCUAGAUUUGAUGGACUUGUUUUGACCCUCAAAUUCUUCAGUCGGCCUUAUACUCUGGAGGAAACCAGAAAACCCUCCAGCUCAGUUCAAGAAUAAGCCUGUGGAAAGUUACUUCUUCAAAAGCAAAAGUAUCUCAUAUCAUCUCUUCUCAUUUUUCUUCUCUUUAUCCUUCAUGCUGCUGCAAGAUGGGGAGAAGGUGAACAAUCAGUCGGAGCUCUGAUUGCUUACCUUGUCUGUCACCUCUUUCAGCAGACCCCCUAGCUCGGCGACUUGGGGGACUCCUACUACAUGGUUUGUAUCGCGCUUGACCAAGCCUGAAACUACAAGUAAGCUUCAAGUGAAAUUGAUACAUUACCUUGUGCAUCUCCACCAGUUAAAGAUACCACCCCUGGAUGGAGGAAGAGUACUUCCAGAGAAGAUGCCACAUCUACCUAUGAGACAGAUAAGGCAAGUCAAGACGACACCACACUCCGAUACUUAGAAGUUUCGUGAUUACGAGAUCAUUCUCCCACAAUAUUUCCUAAUGUCAUUUGUACUAAAUCAUUCACUUGUACUCACUAAAUGGAGAGCUUGAACCUAUGUACUUGUGUAAACCCUUCACAAUUAAUGAGAAACUCUUCUAUUCCGUGGACGUAGCCAAUCUGGGUGAACCACGUACAUCUUGUGUUUGCUUUCCUAUCUCUAUCCAUUUAUAUAUACUUAUCCACACUAAUGACCGGAGCAAUCUAGCGAAGAUCACAAAAAGCGAUCCGUUUUCGCUACCUAGGAUCUAUCUUGCAAG